rnacentral:lncRNA from 1 species
CCCCAUGGACUUCUCGCCACUUCUCAGUCUGGCGCACUAUAAUGAAUCAUGCUAUACAAAAGAUAAAGCCGUUGCCCACGCUGGCUUGUGGUUGGCACGAUAAAUGUUUCACAACAGUAGCUCGCGAACCGGUCCUUAAUUGUCAUGAGCACAACCAUCAAAACCAUAUGCUCACAACCCACCUUAGUCAGGUUUUAGUUAUCAAUUAAUUAUCAUCACACGAUCGACCAUCGUGAGCUACCAUUAAAUAACCACAAUUAACAACAUAAAAUGAUGAAAUAGUUUACCAUUAUCCCUUUUAGUUAACUAAUGUUUCUAAGCAUGGCUAAGCAAACCUAUAUAUAGCAUUUUAGCUGAACCAAUCCAAUCUAUAAGGUUCAUGCUAAUCAAAUUAUAACCCAUAGGAAAAUAAAGUCAUCUUCGGCCAAUAAAUAACUGGGAAAGGUUCACCACCCGAUGACAUUCGAAAACAAUGCAUAGUUGAAAUAAAAUAAUAGCUUUAAACGGGAUCAACAUGCUCAAAGGGUUGUUUGGGAUCUGUGUGACUUGCCUUGGGCUUCCACAAACGCUUCGGAACCUUCCUCAGCAGAAACGCUCUCCUCCGGAACGUCGGAAACUAAAGCAAAUAAACAAAAUCAACAAAACAGUACAAAAACAAGCAUAAACAGUACAUGUGGAUAUUUUUAACAUGUAGAUCUUGAUUUUAGAAAAAUUUAGAAACUUGAACCACCUAAAACGGAUCUACGGUUAUUUAGUUAUGAUUUUGCAAAGUUUUAAUCUAUUUGAAAAUCGGGAAAAAGGAAAAAGAGAGAGAGAUGACGUCAGCCCUGGCAAAGAUGACGUCAGCCCUAGGGUUGACGUCGGCAUGACGUCAGCACGACGGCCGGCUCGGGUCGACGAGCUCGCCGGCGCUAGGGACAUCGGCGGCGGGGUUGGAGGGCAUCAACGCGUAGAGGGCAACGAGGCGAACCCGUUGGUACUCACCACUACACCGAAAGAUGCACGACGGCGGCCGGCGACGAAGAAGAAGGCGGCGGCGGCUCGGGUCGACGACGUCGAGGGUGCUCCGGUGGUCGGCGGCGAAAACGAAGGGGCGGCCGAGCUUCUCCACACCACGGCGCACCUAAUGGCGGUGGCGGCGACCAAAGGCGACGGCGGAGACGGCGGCGUGACGCGACCGAAGAUGGCCGGCGGCGGCGGCGGACUUCGUGCACGCGGCGGCGACGCUACGGGGCACGAGAGAGCACGGGAAAGGGGGCAAACGGAAGAGGAGAUCACGAGGAAGCUUUAUAUGAGCUCGGAUUGAAGAGAUCAAGCCGCAAACGGGAGGAAUCGAGUCGGGAAGAUCUCGGACUCGGUUUUUAGAGAUAAAACAAAACGAACUCGAUUCGGAUCCAAAACUCAACGAUUUGCUUAGCUUCUUGAGGGGAAAGAAAGAGGAGACCGAGAGGAACAAAACCCCUCAAUCAAUUUGAAGAAACGGAAUCGGAUUAGGACGAAUUGAGAGGAGAAAGGGCGGCUAGGGUUCGGGCUCGGGCGGCGGCGGCGGCCGGAGGAGGGAGACGAUCCCGACAGGUGGGCCCCACCUGUCGGCCUCCGCGAGAGGGGCGCGGGCGGCAGCGGCUUGGGCCGGCGUGGGCCGCGCGCGGAGGAGGGGGAGGAAAGAGAGAGUUGGGCCGAAUUCGGCCCAAGGACCAAGAAGGGGAACUUUUGAACUUUUUUGAAUAAAACAAUUUGUAAAAUGUUGUUUCAAUUAUUAAAAAUACUUCCCUUGCUCAAAUAAUUCCCAGAAAAUUCUAGAAAAUAGAGGAGCAAGCAUAGUAUUUAAUAAAAUUUUAUCUAGCUCAUUUUUAUGUUGAAAAUUUUCCUAGAAAAUUAGGGUUUAGCUUGUAGGCUUUUAAAAUAAUUUCUAAAAAUUCCAAUUAAUCAACAAUUUAUAUAUUUAAGAUUUUUAGGGUGUGACAAACCUACCCCCCUUAAACAGAAUCUCGUCCUCGAGAUUCAGAAGAACUAGAGAACAGAUGAGGAUGAGCUGACUUUAAUUCAUCUUCUCGCUCCCAAGUUGAUUCUUCUUCUGAAUGAUUACUCCACUGAACCUUGCAGAAUCGUAUAACGCGAUUCCUGGUAUUCCUCUCGCUUACUUCCAAGAUUCUGACUGGCUUCUCAACAUAAGUUAAAUCUUCCUGAAGCUCUAUACGACCAGGAUCUGCUUCCUCCGUAGGUACACGUAAACAUUUCUUCAACUGAGACACAUGAAACACAUCAUGUAUUCCCGCCAUUGACGGAGGCAACUCUAACUGGUAAGCUACUUCACCUCUUCGACUCACAAUCUUAAAAGGUCCCACAAAACGCGGUGCCAAUUUCCCUUUGGUUUGAAAACGAUGAACACCUCGUAACGGCGUAACCCGAAGAUAUACAUAAUCUCCUUCUUCGAAAGCCAAAUCUCUGCGACGAUUGUCGGCAUAGCUCUUCUGACGUGACUGAGCAACGCGCAACCUUUCUUGGAUAAUCUUCAUUUUUUCUUCCGCCUCUCGUAAUAUGUCUGUCCCAAAAACUUGACGUUCACCGGUUUGAUCCCAAAGAAGCGGCGUACGGCACUUGCGACCAUAUAAUGCUUCAUUCGGAGACAUUUGCAAACUAGCUUGAUAACUAUUGUUAUAUGAGAAUUCCGCAUACGGUAAAUUCUUAUCCCAACUUCCACCAAAAUCUAGAACACAGGCUCUCAACAUAUCUUCUAAAAUUUGGUUUACUCUUUCCGUCUGACCAUCUGUUUGAGGAUGAUAGGCAGUACUGAAAUUCAAACGGGUACCCAAUUCUGAUUGUAAUUUCUGCCAAAACUUCGAAGUAAACUGGCUACCUCUAUCUGACACUAUCUUUUUAGGAACACCAUGCAAACAUACCACUCUGGCCAUAUAUAACUCUGCAAGCUUAUGUCCCGUAUAGGUUGUUUUGAUCGGUAUGAAUUGAGCGACUUUUGUCAACCGAUCAACCACUACCCAAAUAGAAUCAUGUCCUGCCGACGUUCUGGGUAGACCGGUUAUAAAAUCCAUUCCUAUUUCUUCCCACUUCCACUCUGGAAUCUUCAACGGUUGUAACAGACCAGCUGGUUUCUGAUGUUCUGCUUUGACCCGCUGACAUACAUCACAUAGAGCCACAUAUUCUGCUAUCUCACGUCGCAUACUAGCCCACCAGAAUUGUAGCUUUAAGUCUUGGUACAUCUUAGUGCUUCCAGGGUGAAUGGAAUACAAAGUUUCAUGAGCUUCUUUCAUGAUAGUAUUCUUCAACUCCUUAUUUUCUGGGACACAAAUUCUUUCUCCUAACCACACAGUUCCUUGCUCAUCUUCUACAAAACCGAUGGCCUUACCCCUUCUCAUGUUCUUCUUUAUUUCCUGGAUAUCAGGAUCAUUCAUUUGAGCUUCUCUAAUUUGAUCAAACAAAGUAGGUUUAGCUUCCAAUGUAGCCACAAAACCUUUGCUGACUAUUCCCAAGUUCAACCUUUCAAAUUCUUGGCACAACUCCCAAGGUAAACAUCGACCUUCUGACAUAUUACAGUAACUUUUCCUGCUAAGGGCAUCGGCUACCACAUUUGCUUUUCCCGGGUGAUAGUGGAUUUCCAUAUCAUAAUCCUUAAUCAACUCUAACCAUCUUCGCUGUCGCAUGUUCAAAUCAGGUUGAGUGAAAAUGUACUUCAAACUUUUAUGAUCCGUAUAUAUCUCUGUACGAUUACCGAAAAGAUAAUGACGCCAAAUCUUCAAUGCAUGCACCACAGCUGCCAACUCUAGGUCAUGCGUUGGGUAAUUAUUCUCAUGAGGACAUAAUUGCCUAGAUGCAUAAGCAACCACCUUUCCUUCUUGCAUCAACACACAACCCAAACCGUGUCGGGAUGCAUCACAAUACACUUGGAAACCCUUCCUCGAAUCAGGUAAAAUUAACACAGGCGCAGUCACUAGCCUUUUCUUCAGUUCUUGGAAACUUUGUUCACAAUCCUCCGUCCACUUGUACUUUACAUCCUUCUGAAGCAGACGAGUCAUUGGUCUAGCGAUCUUUGAAAAGUUCUCAAUAAACCUGCGGUAAUACCCUGCAAGUCCAAGGAAACUACGAAUUUCUGAAACCGUCUUGGGUUGCUUCCAACUUAACACUGACUCCACAUUGCUUGGAUCUACUGCCACUCCUCCAGACGAGAUGACAUGACCAAGAAACUUCACUUCGGACAACCAAAAUUCACAUUUACUGAACUUGGCAUAAAGCUGAUGCUCACGUAGUUUCUCUAAAGCUAGACGAAGAUGCUCUUCAUGUUCUUCCUUCGUCUUGGAGUAAAUAAGAAUGUCAUCAAUAAACACAACGACAAACUUAUCCAGAUAUUCCAUAAACACCUUGUUCAUCAGAUUCAUGAAAAAGGCUGGGGCAUUAGUGAGUCCAAAUGACAUAACGGUACACUCAAACAAACCAUACCGAGUUGUGAAGGCGGUCUUUGGUAUAUCUUCCUCACGGAUUCGAAGUUGAUGAUAUCCAGAACGGAGAUCUAUCUUAGAGAAAACUGUAGCACCUUCGAGUUGAUCGAACAGGUCAUCAAUUCUGGGUAAAGGGUACUUAUUCUUGAUAGUAACCUCAUUCAACGCUCGAUAAUCCACGCACAUUCUCUGAGUAUGAUCUUUCUUCUCCACAAAGAUGACUGGUGCUCCCCAUGGCGAAGUACUGGGUCUGAUGUAUCCUUUCUGAAGCAAAUCAUCCACCUGUUUCUUCACCUCAGCUAACUCAUUAGCUGCCAUUCUGUACGGUCUCUUAUGGAUAGGGUUAGUUCCAGGUACCAAGUCUAUCCGAAACUCUAUAUCUCUCUUAGGUGGCAUACCUGGCAAAUCCUCCGGAAACACAUCUGGGUAGUCUUGUACUAUAGGUAUCUCUUGUAGAGCAACUUGGUUUAAGACCUCACCAUGAGAUUUAGGAGAGGAUGCAAAGAAAGAAACUGUUUCCCCAUUGCUACUGGUUAAAGUCACCUUACGGUUGGCACAAUCUAUAACUCCUCUGUGACGAGAUAACCAGUCCAUCCCUAGGAUAACAUCUAGAUCUUUGGAUUCUAGCAAGAUAAGAGAGGAUGGGAAAGGAACUUCUUCUAUUUCUAUAGUAACAGAAGGACAAUACCGUGUCGAAAAUGCUUGAUUGCCUGGGGUAUUAACUAGUAAAGGUCUCCCAAGACUAACAACUUCCAUCCCAUGUUUGAUUGCAAAACUUUUAGACAAAAAGGAAUGUGUAGCACCGGAAUCAAAUAGCACAGUUGCGGGUAUAGAGUUAACAGGAAACGUACCCAAAACAACAUCUGGUGCAUUCUGAGCUUCUGCGGCUGCAACAUGAUUGACACGAGCCUUCGGUGCUGGAACAUUGAAGUUGUUCGGGGCUGGAGCGUUCUUCACACGCCGAGGCUUCGGACACUUAUCAGCAUAAUGUCCCGGAUCACCACAAUUGAAGCAUAUCACUGGCUUGCUUCCCUGUUCCCUCCUAACGGGCUGGUUCUGAACUGGAGUUGCUGCAGGACGAGCAACCACAUUACGGUUGUCAUUGCCACGAUUACCAGUAUUGUUGUUGUAGAACUGGCGUUGGGGACGGACAACUGAUGAAGAUCCUCCUUGAGGGUACGAUGGAACUUGAGGUCCAGUAACGAGACGCGGCCUCUGGUUACUGCCCUGUUGUGCCUUAAAUUGGGCAGCCCUACGCUUCUUCUACUCCAUCCGGUUGUACUUGUCUUCCUGACGAAUCGCCUUGUCCACCAAUUGUUGGAAAUCCCGGAAAUCCGUAGACAUCAAAGCAUAAGACAACUCAUCAUUUAGUCCUUCCAAAAACUUCUCCUGACGUUCCUCAUCAGUGCAAACAUCCUCUGGAGCAUAACACGCUAAACGAUUGAAAUCAUGGAGGUACUUGGUGACUGAACGAGAUCCCUGAUUGAGUGCUCUAAACUCCCUCUUCUUUAGAGCUACAACACCUGACGGUAUAUGCGUCUUCUUAAAAGCAGCUGUGAACUCCUGCCAAGUGAUAGGUUCUCCUCCAGCCCUGCCUUGGCGAAAAUGAUCCCACCAUUCAGCAGCGGGUCCAUGCAACUGAUGCGAAGCAAAAGAAACUUUCUCUUGCUCAGUACACUGAAUCAAAUCCAACUUCUUCUCCACUGCAUGCAGCCAAUCUCCUGCUUCAACUGGAUUGGUGGUGCUUGAGAAGGUAGGGGGUCUCACACGUAAGAAAUCUGCCAAUUUGUUUUGGGGAGGUGGGGGUGGAUUCUGGUUCUGAUUAUUUCCCUGCUGAUUCUGUGCCUGCUGCACUAACAGAUUGAUCAGUUGUGUUUGUUGGGCCAGAAUCUGGGCUAGCGUUGGUUCUCCCUCAUUGUUAUUGGCUCCACUUCCACUUCCACUUCCAGUGCCGGUGCGCGUGUUCACCAUCUGACGAUAAGCAGAGACAACAGGAAAGAAAGACAGAGAGACACCUUAGAACGAAGUUAUUUAAUUAAUUUAAAUUUCUAUAUUGCUCUUAACUGUGUAUGAUUACAUUUAAGUUGCAUUAACACUACCUCACCAACUUUCUUACACUCUGACAAGCAAAAGAACUAGACUCAUGCUGUUACAUCCCACCCAUGAUGUAAGCAACAACUAAAACCCACACACUCACAAGCAAACUUAAGCAAACAAUCUAACACAACGAUCUAAGGCAACGAUCUAACUAGACGACUACUUCCACCUUGCGUCGGAACGAAGCGAUGAAUCUUCUUCCUCUGGAGUAGCUGGCUCUCUUUCUUCAGGAUCUUCCUCUUCUUCCUCAUCACUUAUGAUGUCGAUGACAGGUUCAGCACGAACGGGCACAGCGUCACCCAUCGCGCGAAUCUUCGAAGCUAACUGGAGACGAGGUGGCGGACAGGUUCUCUUUCUUGCAGUGAGGCGAAGCUUGGAUGUUGGCGGCGGCAUUUCUCCUUUAAGUUCAGCUAAUUCCUUCUGUAGACGGUGCACCUUGCUCUUCAACUUGCAAAUCUUGCCUCGAUUCCAGUUUUCCCGGUCAUGAGCUGCUUUGUCUCGCUCCACACUUACUGCAUCCAUAGCACUAAGCAUAUGCACCACAUGCACCAAAGUGGCACUCUCUUCACCAUCCGGACAGGUAUAGGUUCCAUAAUCUUGGCCAUGAGGCUUGUGAGGAUGAUACUGGAAAGCUGAUGAAUCCAACUCUUCUUCAAAGUGUUGACGCAACUCUCCAAUGGCCACCAAAGCUACUUCUUGACAAGCAUGGCAGUACGAUCUUCCUCCAGCUUCAAACUUAAAGGACGGAAGGUCUUCACUAUCACUAGCCAAUGUCACACGAACACGACAUUUCUCCUCGUCGGGGUCAUGAGGAAUUUGGCGAUACUCAGGAGCAACUUCAUAGCCCACCUCAAAAGCCAUCAACCUCAGCUCCCUGACGAAUCCUAACACCUCGAUCAAAUUUCUCGGUGAAUGGCGAGGCAUCUAAAGAGACAUAGAAGAGAAGAAUUAAAGCAUAUUUUAAGUUAGCUGCACCAACUAGACUCAACUGAUUUUGACCAAAAAGGUAGAAAAAUAAAAGAGAAGACACAUACAAAGCUAUUUUAUAAAUAUUUUUUUUAGAAUUUAACUUUUUAAACAGAAACAAAUAUAUUUUUUUUGACAAAUAAUUAAAAUAAAACUGAAAUAAUUAUGAUCUAUUAUAAGCACGGUACAGUGUCACCAUAGGAAAGAUGAGUAGUACUAGUGCUAACAUGAUUAAAUCGAUACCAUGAUAAAUGUACAGUGCCGACCAAUCAAUAAGAUUUGGUAAAAAGUAAAAGGAACAUUUUGAAAAGAACAACUUUUUGCUUUUAACAGAAAAGAAAUUGAAUUAAAUAUAUUUUGUGCAUAACCUUGCAUAUGCUGCCAACUUAAUUAAUUUAUAAGAGAAUAGAGAAGAGCAGUUCUAUUUUCAAAAUAUUUUGAAGGCUACUUAAGGUUUACCAUUUGGCUUAUCCUAAGGUCAAGGUGGCUCUGAUACCAACUUGUCACGCCCGGAAUUUCUAUCCAAAAUUCCAAACGCUUACAUGUGUGUUAAACCCUCGUCCAGGAAUCAACCGAGGCACACAAUGACAAUAUUGAUAAUAGAGUACAAAUAAAUAACUAUUUAAUACUCGCAAAUAAUAAAUUAUUACAGAGGUGGAUAGUUCCUCUCAAAGAAAAACAUUCUACGCAGCGGAAAGAUAAAACUAAAACAAACGACGGAACGGCUAUGGCGACUCCACUCCACAGGCAACUUGACCGAGAACAAGCCUAAUCCUCCAGAUCAUCACCUUCACUGAAGUACUCCUCUUCUGAUGAAUGAAUAUUGCAAGAAUGAGCAUAUAACAUACUCAACAAGCCACACAGCAAAUAUGCAAGUGCACAGGAUAACAAAGGAUGGCAUAGUAUAGUUCAUUUGCAGAAAACAGCAUUUAACAAAUAUUUAAGAGAAUAGUAAAACAGUUGAAUAAUUAAUCAAUAUUAAACAAACACCAUACAACAUACCCAUGUUGCAUAGGCCCAGCCACAUUUGAACAACCAACCCCAGUUGAACAAAUAUAACCUCCAGACCAGGAACUAACCAUUCCAAACCAGGAACUAAAUUAAUUACCACAUUAAUGAGUAGUGUGAGACUAAUCACGAAAAACAUUGCUCAACUCACCCAUGACCGCGGGUACGGCUAUUCGAAUAGUUUAAACUCUGAUCAGAGGUGUACCACUGUACCCACAAGACACAACCCCACAUCAUGUUACCAUGUGCCUCAGUACCACCACGAUACCUCGGAAAGGAGUAGUGACAAUACCCCUCGCAUAACACAAUUCACUACAGUGCACCGUACCUGGAUCAUAAUCACCCCCUUUAAAACAAGGCAUGGACUCCCCAGCGACCCCCAUGGACUUCUCGCCACUUCUCAGUCUGGCGCAUUAUAAUGAAUCAUGCUAUACAAAAGAUAAAGCCGUUGCCCACGCUGGCUUGUGGUUGGCACGAUAAAUGUUUCACAACAGUAGCUCGCGAACCGGUCCUUAAUUGUCAUGAGCACAACCAUCAAAACCAUAUGCUCACAACCCACCUUAGUCAGGUUUUAGUUAUCAAUUAAUUAUCAUCACACGAUCGACCAUCGUGAGCUACCAUUAAAUAACCACAACUAACAACAUAAAAUGAUGAAAUAGUUUACCAUUAUCCCUUUUAGUUAACUAAUGUUUCUAAGCAUGGCUAAGCAAACCUAUAUAUAGCAUUUUAGCUGAACCAAUCCAAUCUAUAAGGUUCAUGCUAAUCAAAUUAUAACCCAUAGGAAAAUAAAGUCAUCUUCGGCCAAUAAAUAACUGGGAAAGGUUCACCACCCGAUGACAUUCGAAAACAAUGCAUAGUUGAAAUAAAAUAAUAGCUUUAAACGGGAUCAACAUGCUCAAAGGGUUGUUUGGGAUCUGUGUGACUUGCCUUGGGCUUCCACAAACGCUUCGGAACCUUCCUCAACGGAAACGCUCUCCUCCGGAACGUCGGAAACUAAAGCAAAUAAACAAAAUCAACAAAACAGUACAAAAACAAGCAUAAACAGUACAUGUGGAUAUUUUUAACAUGUAGAUCUUGAUUUUAGAAAAAUUUAGAAACUUGAACCACCUAAAACGGAUCUACGGUUAUUUAGUUAUGAUUUUCCGAAGUUUUAAUCUAUUAGAAAAUCGAGAAAAAGGAAAAAGAGAGAGAGAUGACGUCAGCCCUGGCGUUGAUGACGUCAGCCCUAGGGUUGACGUCAUGCUGACGUCAGCACGACGGCCGGCUCGGGAAGGAGAACUCGCCGGCGCUAGACGGGUCGGCGGCGGAAACGGAGGGCAUCUACGCGUAAAGGGCAACGAGGCGAACCCGUUGGUACUCACCACUACACGAAACGAUGCACGACGGAGGCCGGCGACGAAGAAGAAGGCGGCGGCGGCUCGGGUUAGCGGCGACGGCGGCGGCGGCUCGGGUUAGCGGCGACGGCGGCGCUUCGGUGGUCGACGGCGCAAACGGAGGGGCGGCCGAGCUUCUCCACACCACGGCGCACCUAACGGCGGCAACGGCGAGCGGCGGCGACGACGGAGGCGGCGGUGCGACGUGACCGAAGAUGACCGACGACGGCGGCGGACUUCGUGCACGCGGCGGCGACGCUACGGAGCACGGGAAAGCACGGGAAAGGGGGCAAACGGAAGAGGAGAACACGAGGAAGCUUUAUAUGAGCUUGGAUUGAAGAGAUCAAGCCGCAAACGGGAGGAAUCGAGUCGGGAAGAUCUCGGACUCGGUUUUUAGAGAUAAAACAAAACGAACUCGAUUCGGAUCCAAAACUCAACGGUUUGCUUAGCUUCUUGAGGGGAAAGAAAGAGGAGACCGAGAGGAACAAAACCCCUCAAUCAAUUUGAAGAAACGGAAUCGGAUUAGGACGAAUUGAGAGGAGAAAGGGCGGCUAGGGUUCGGGCUCGGGCGGCGGCGGCGGCCGGAGGAGGGAGACGAUCCCGACAGGUGGGCCCCACCUGUCGGCCUCCGCGAGAGGGGCGCGGGCGGCAGCGGCUUGGGCCGGCGUGGGCCGUGCGCGGAGGAGGGGAAGGAAAUAGAGAGUUGGGCCGAAUUCGGCCCAAGGACCAAGAAGGGGAACUUUUGAACUUUUUUGAAUAAAACAAUUUGUAAAAUGUUGUUUCAAUUAUUAAAAAUACUUCCCUUGCUCAAAUAAUUCCCAGAAAAUUCUAGAAAAUAGAGGAGCAAGCAUAGUAUUUAAUAAAAUUUUAUCUAGCACAUUUUUAUGUUGAAAAUUUUCCUAGAAAAUUAGGGUUUAGCUUGUAGGCUUUUAAAAUAAUUUCUAAAAAUUCCAAUUAAUCAACAAUUUAUAUAUUUAAGAUUUUUAGGGUGUGACACUUUGUUUCUUGUUAAUUACAGGAUCAAAUCAACUGGCACGCUCAUACAUCCGAAGGCGAGUUUUGGACCUGCACUGGAGUUAAGCAGAUCUCCCAGGCCUCGUGUUUUCUGUCAAUACAUGGCAAACAUGAUAAUUAAUUCAUCCCCCCUAAUGGGUCUAAGAUCACCUCUAGGAAACGAAGUCAUAGCAAUCCAUUUGUGCAUGAGCCUAAGUGUAUGAUUGUGGAUAUCAUUCGUCCUAGGUUUCUUGCAAAUUGGAGCACCAGAACAAAUCUCUGCCAACCAACAGCUUUCCAAAUAACACGAAAAUCAACAUCCAUACUGUCAGGGUUACGGGUCAGGCAUACCCUCUACCCCUCGAUAUACGUCACGUAUCGACAUGGCAUAUCCACGCGUACACGGAUAGUUCCUUUGACAUCUAAGGAAACUCUUCGUGAAGUCAAUGGACGAGGAGAGACCUUCUGGGAAAAGAAUUGGGUUACCCACGUGUCGUGCCAGGUUUGGUAUGUUCGAGUCCUACUCGGAGAGCACCCAACCUGCGGUAUAAAAGGGACCCCCCGGGAAGGGCAUAGAUCAUCCAAUCUCAGAGCCAACACAACCCACACAGCCUACGAAGUCGGAGCCUGCAAAGAGCCAAGUCGACGUGAGCUAGUCGAAACAUCUCGACUACAAUCUCGCCAAAUCCCCUGAGUUCCGUCUUUUCCUUUGUAAUUUGUGUUUUCCACUAUAUAAUCCCAUAUCAACUGGAUUAGGGCUAUUACCUAUCAAGGGGCUUGAACCAGUAUAAUUCUUGUCUUUUGAUUGCUCGAUGUCGUACUACGUAGAUCCUUAUACCAGCGUACCCCAAUACCCUCUAUAUCCGGUCUACGGGUAUCCUCCGUCGACAGUGGCGCGCCAAGUAGGGGCACUUGGUAUUCAAGGUUCUACUACUACGCCAUCAAGCUUCGUCGACAACAACGCCAACACCAGCUUCGGUCAAGUUCUUCCUACUUCAACAAUGCUGGUAUGGACUCAAGUCGGUGAAAUCGUCUACCCGGUUUACACUACAAUGCCGAUCUCAACCGGUCCCCCAAUGACUGGGAACGAGAACGCGGUGGCCACGAACCAAGACGCCUCCAUGUCGAAAAAUCCACCCGUUGAAACGGAGAACGGAUUACCGACUACAUCCAAAUUCGUGAAGGAUUCUGAUGCGGCCAGGCCUUGUCCCUCCGACACAAAUCGCGGGCCAACAAAGAUGACUUCCGAAACUACCAGGUCUUGGUGUCCUAUCCAUAAAACUGAGAAACAUACUCUUCAAGAUUGCUGGGUAUUCGUCAACGUUCGUGCUGAAAUCCGCGCCUGCAAAGAACGUGGGAUUCGGCGUACAUCUCCAACUCGGGACGUCUAUUGUCCUAUCCAUAAGACAAAGAAUCACGACCUCUCGAGUUGCAAAGUUCUACUCGGCGCCAUGAAAACUCCGUCUCCUAAGUCAUACGUCCUCGUCAGGGAUAACGGCAAGGAACAAGGAGUGACUCCGGCCCCAGAUCGAUUCGUUGGGGUAAUCGAUCUCAAUCCCCACGAACCAUCUAUUUUACAUCUCCUCGAAGACUAUGGGUCAUCGACAUUAGACGCGGCGCGGGAGGUGUUGGCUAUCGAUGACGUUGGCACGUCAGCACAAGCCGACGCGGAGACGGCGAAUCAAUCGACUACCCCAGCCCAACAUAUCAGGGCUGUUCAAGCCAUACUGAGGGAAACACCUUACGAUCCCGUUCUAAACAACGACCUCAAGCGUUGGACGGAACGACUACGGGCAUCGGUGACUAACCUCAGUAAUGCGUUCAAAGAAGCCGCCACUGCAGCACAACAAAACCGAUCACCCGUCGGCGAUGCUAACGGUGAAAUUCCAGAACGGAGGGAAUCACCUCGACAAGCUACCCCUCCACCUCGUGGCACUGGCGAUCUUCGAGAUCAAAUCAAUGGUCGUCGAGAAGCACGGCGCACAUGGGAUGACGCAAACCGUUCCCGACGUCAUGUCUCCUCACGACGCCAUAAUCGAGGAAGUCGUCCAAACGAGGACCGAGACUACGACGAUCGCGACCGGCGGGGGCCGGACAACACUGGUCAUGGCCGUCGCCGUAAUGACGAAGAUGAAGGAGAUCGGCAUCGAGACAACAGCGAUAGACGACGACAAGAUUCCCGAGAUCCAGGUCGUCAUCCUCGUAAUCGUACGCCGGAACCAAGCGACCCAUCGUCAUCAUCAUCAUCAUCCGCGUCCUCUUCAUCGUCAGACUGGCAUCCACGAAGGUCACGCGACCACCGACAACCCACCGCUCCCAAUGCUGGGUGUAGGGCUUUCGGUCGUUCCCUACGUGAUGUCCGAUGGCCUGAGAGAUUCCGACCCGGAGCUAUUGAAAAGUAUGAUGGGAGCGCCGACCCAGAAGAAUUCCUUCAAGUCUACUCGACAGUGCUUUAUGCCACUGGAGCAGAUGACAAUGCGUUGGCGAACUAUUUACCAGCCGCGUUGAAGGGUUCUGCACGUUCGUGGCUGAUGCAUCUCCCCCCUACUCAAUUUCUUCAUGGUCAGACCUGUGGCAACAGUUUGUCGCCAAUUUCCAAGGAACAUACAAGCGCCACGCGAUCAAAGACGAUCUUCACGCGUUAACACAGAACUCAGGUGAAUCUUUGAGGGAAUACGUUUCACGCUUUAACGAGUGCAGGAACACCAUCCCCGAGAUCACCGACGCUUCUGUAAUUCACGCCUUCAAGUCUGGUGUCAGAGAUCGCUACACUACCCAGGAGUUGGCAACAAGGCGCAUCACAACUACUCGAAGAUUAUUCGAGAUCAUUGAAAGAUGUGCCCACGUGGAUGACGCACUAAGACGCAAGAACGACAAGCCGAAGAUUGGGGGAGAGAAGAAGUUAGCCGCAGACACAUCUGAGUCGAACAAGAAGAAAAAUCGCAAAAACGGGAAAAGGAAAGCUCACGCGGAAGUCCUCGCAGCAGGAUACGCGAACCCUCCCAAGCGCCCGGACCCACAAGGCAGCGACACAAAGAAAUCAUGGUGCCCCAUACACAAAACAGACAGACAUUCUCUGGAGGAUUGCCUUGUUUUCAAAAAGUCGCUCGAGAAGCACAUGGCGUUUGAAAAAGGCAAGCGAGUACGGAUUGUCUAGAAGAACGAGGAGUCACCUCCUCACGAAUCGGACUCCGCGUACCCAGACUCCGAUCUCCAUGUUUCACACAUCUUCGGUGGCUCCACGACGUACUCCUCCAAGCGAGAAUACAAGAAAGUGGAACGCGAAGUUUGUUCGACGUGGCAGGGGGCUGCACCCAGGAUGAAGUGGUCUGAGCAGAAGAUGGAGUUCUCGGAAGCAGACCAUCCCAAGACCUCGGUGAUCCCGGGACGGUAUCCGAUCGUGGUCGAACCCACUAUUCGGAACAUCAAGGUAGCACGAGUUCUCAUCGACGGGGGCAGCUCGAUCAACCUCCUUUUUGCCAGCACUCUGGAUGCAAUGGGAAUUCCACAAAGUGAGUUGACACCAACUGAUCAACCCUUCUAUGGAAUCACUCCCCAAUUAUCAUCCAGACCUUUGGGCAAUAUUACGUUGCCUGUGACCUUUGGCCAAGCCAACAACUUCCGAACAGAGCAGAUCACCUUCGAUGUCGCUGAAUUCGAUACAGCUUACAACGCCAUCAUCGGGAGAACUGAACUUACGAAGUUCAUGGCCGCAUCCCACUACGCAUAUCAAGUGCUCAAGAUGCCGGGACCGAAGGGAAUAAUCACUAUUCAAGGGAACGCAAAGCUAGCGGUGCAGUGUGACAAGCGGAGCCUCGACAUGGUCGAGCAAACGCCCACUCCACCCGCCACGUUCGAGCCACCCAAGAAAGUGAGCAAGCCAAACAAGACGCCGAAGCCGGACGGCGCCAUCAAGAUCGUUCCGCUCUCUAGUGCUAACCCCGACAAGACUGUCAAAAUCGGGGCUACACUAAAUGGGAAAUAGGAACUCGCGCUCAUCACCUUCCUCCGCGAUAAUGCCGACGUAUUCGCCUAGCAACUGUCCGACAUGCCGGGGGUCCCCAGGGAGGUGAUUGAGCACAAACUAAUGGUGCGACCCGAUGCCAAGCCAGUAAAGCAAAGACUGCGGAGAUUCGCACCAGAUCGAAAACAAGCCAUACGAGAAGAGCUCGACAAACUUCUCAAAGCUGGCUUCAUCAGAGAAAUACUCCACCCAUAGUGGCUUGCCAACCCAGUUAUAGUGCGGAAAGCCAAUGGAAAAUAAAGAAUGUGCGUCGACUUCACAGACCUCAACAAGGCGUGCCCCAAGGAUCACUUUCCUCUCCAUCGAAUAGACCAACCGGUGGAUUCAACAGCCGGAUGCGAACUAUUAAGCUUCCUCGACGCUUACUCUGGCUACCACCAAAUCAGCAUGGCGAAGGAGGACGAGGAAAAAACAGCGUUCAUCACACCAUUCGGGGUAUUUUGCUAUGUCAAGAUGCCCUUCGGAUUGAUAACAGCUGGGAAUACUUUCCAACGCACGGUCCAGGGCGCACUUAGCAAUCAGCUUGGCAACAAUGUCGAAGCGUACGUCAACGACAUCGUUGUCAAAACCAAGACAAGCGACUCAUUGAUUGAUGACCUCCGGGAAACGUUCGACAACCUCCGACGAUAUCGUCUCAUGCUCAAUCCAGAGAAGUGCACGUUCGGAGUACCGUCGGACAAGCUACUCGGAUUCCUUGUUUCAGGCAGAGGAAUAGAGGCAAAUCCCGAGAAGAUCAAAGCAAUCGAGAACAUGAAGUCGCCCACAAGACUCAAGGAGGUACAGAAGCUAACCGGAUGCAUGGCAGCAUUAAGCAGAUUCGUCGCUAGGAUGGGAGAACGAGGACAGCCUUUUUUCGCCUUGUUGAAGAAACAAGACAAAUUUGUAUGGACACAGGAAGCCGAAGAGGCAUUUAUUGCACUCAAGCGCUACCUAUUAAACCCCCCUAUACUCGUUGCUCCCCAACCUAAUGAAGAAUUAUUCCUUUAUAUUGCCGCUACGCCAUACUCCGUUAGCACUGUCAUUGUCGUCGAGCGAGAGAAAGUACAGUGACCAGUCUAUUACGUCAGCGAAGCUCUCCAUGACGCAAAGACAAGAUACCCACAGAUUCAAAAACUGCUCUACGUAGUCAUUAUGACAUCAAGGAAGCUACGCCACUACUUUCAAGCCCACAGGGUCACAAUUGUUUCCUCCUUCCCUCUUGGCGAAGUUGUCAGAAACAAAGACGUUGUCGGUCGCAUCGCGAAAUGGGUAGUCGAGCUAAGCCAAUUUGAUGUCCACUUCGUGCCGCGGAAAGCCAUUAAAUCUCAGGUACUUGCCGACUUCGUGGCCAAUUGGACCAUGCUAGAUAACAAGUCAGAUAACCAAGGCAACAAUGAGACAUGGACAAUGGCGUUCGAUGGCGCACUCAGUAGCCAAGGAGCAGGGGCUGGAUUUAUCUUAACAUCUCCAUCCGGAGAUCAAUUCAAACACGCAAUCCACCUUAACUUCAGGGCAACGAAUAACACUGCAGAAUACGAAGGACUACUCGUCGGGAUACGAGCUGCAGCCGCACUUGGGGCCAAGCGACUAAUCGUCAAAGGGGACUCUGAGCUAGUCGCAAACCAAGUGCACAAAGACUAUAAAUGCUCUAACCCCGAGUUAUCCAAGUACCUUGCAGAAGUCAGGAAGCUCGAGAAGAGGUUUGACAGGAUCGAGGUUCGACACGUCUAUCGCAAGGACAACGUCGAGCCAGACGACCCAGCCCGACGCGCAUCCAGACGAGAACCGCUCGACCCCGGUACCUUUCUCGACAUCCUGACGAAACCUUCGGUAAAAGAAGUAAGCGGCGAAGUUGGCCCGAGCACCCCCGACAUCAGCUCGGAGGUCAUGGAGGCAGAACGCGCCGUGGCUGACAUUGAAACCACGGAUGACUGGCGCACCCCAUUAAUCAAAUUCAUCAGCAGCGAGGAGUUACCCGAAGACGAUAAAGAGGCCGAGAAAAUAACCCGUAAAGCAAAAAUAUAUUGUAUGAUCGGCAAUGAUCUAUACAAAAAAGUGCCAAACGGGAUACUUCUCAAAUGCGUCUCUACCGACGACGGCAGACAACUCCUCCUCGACAUACACAAAGGCAUAUGUGGGUCACACGUCGCCGGUCGGACAUUGGUCAGCAAAGCCUUUCGACAAGGGUUUUUCUGGCCAACAGCCCUUAAAGAUGCAUGCGACAUGGUCCAGCGAUGUGAAGCCUGUCAAUUCCACAGCAAACACACAAAACUACCUACACAAGCGCUUCAAACAAUCCCUCUGACUUGGCCGUUCUCGUGCUGGGGGCUAGACAUACUUGGGCCAUUCCCACGAGGACAGGGCGGCUACAAAUUCCUAUUUGUAGCAAUCGACAAGUUCACCAAAUGGAUCGAAGCAGUACCCACUGAAGAAAUCAAGGCCGAUAACGCCAUCAAGUUCAUCAGAGGGAUAUUUUGCAAAUACGAACUACCGCACCGCAUCAUAACCGACAAUGGCUCUCAAUUCAUCAGCGCCGAUUUCCAAGAUUACUGCAUCGGCUUAGGAGUCAAAAUAUGCUUCGCCUCGGUUUCUCGCCCUGAAAGCGAGACAUCGAUGUAAACCUUCUCGAGGAGCAUCGUGAGCGAGUUGCCGUUCGAGCAGCAAGCUAUCAACAGGCCCUCCGUCGUUAUCACGAGAAGCGCAUCCGAGCACGCAUACUUUCGAUCGGCGACUAUGUCCUCCGACGAGUUCAAACCCAAGCAGGGAGAAACAAACUCUCACCAAAGUGGGAAGUACCCUACACGAUCACACAAGCCUAGCGGCCAGGCACAUACAAAAUCGCAGACGGCGACUGUCACAUCCUGAUUUUUGUUUCAGGAUUUAUAAACUAUUUAAUAAAUUAUUAAUAGAAUUUAAAUUAAAUGAUCUUUAAUUUACAAGUAAAGUUAAAUGUGGGAAAUAAAAUUUCCUAAAUAUAAAGCAUGGAUGGAUUUAAUUUUUAUUAAAUUCUCCAUGAUUAAGUCAACUCUCUGAAAUUUUCUCAGAUUUUUCAGAGCUCAAUUCCUAAAUGAUACAAAGAACAGUUCAGUAAUUAUUUGAUCAUUAAUGAUCUAAUUAUAAUUGUUAAGUGCUUUUCUUGUUUAAAAUCCUUAAAUUAUAAAUUGUUGUUUAAAAGGAAUUAUUAGAAAUGAUUUUAAAAGCUUAAAAGAGAAGAUCUAAUUUUAAUUUGUUAAAUCUCAACAUAAAAUUGGGCUAGAUAAAAUUUUGUUAAAUACUUUUCUUAAUUCUAUAAUUCCUAGAUUUUUCUGGGAUUUAUUUGAGCUAAGGAAGUAUUUUUAAUAAAUGGAAUUGCAUUUAAGAAAUAAUUUAAAUUGAAAAAGGUUGUAAAAGUCCUCUUUUGGCUUUGGGCCGAAAGUCGGCCCAAAAUCCUCUCUCUCUCUUUCCCUCGGCCCAGUCCGGCCCAGUCCGCCGCGCGCGCGCGUCCGCCCGCUGACAGGUGUCCUUCGUCCUCCUCCGGCCGUCGCCGCCCGAAACCCUAGUUUCGCGCCUCCGCCGUUCCUUUCCAAAUCCGGCCGCCCCUUUCCUUCUCCGGCCGAAUUGAUAGAGGGGAAAUGAUCCUCGGGAUCUCCUCUACCUUUUCUCCUUUGGAAUCAUCGGCUAAAUCGUUUUGGAAAGCGUUGGAUUCGAGUUCGUCUCGGAUUCGUUCUUCCCGAGCUUUCCUUCUCGUCGUCGGCCGCCGUGGGCCUUUGCCGCCGCCUCCGAGCCCCUUUAAAAGCCUCCCCGGUGUCUCCUCUACCCGCCGCCACCCUCGCCUUCACCUCUCGUCGUCGGAAUCGCUCUAGCGCCGUGAGCCCUAGCUUCGCCGUCGCCGCCGCCGCUCUAGCCAUGCUCCGCCGUCGCUCCAGCCGUCGCCGUCGCUCGGGAAGGACAUCAUCAUGGUCGCCGUUGCGUCGCCGUCCUCGUCCGCCUCUUCACCGUCACCGGAGAUCAUCGGAGCAGCAUCGCCGUCAUCGACCCGAAGGUUCCCGCCGCUUCCUCCUCGUCGCCGGCGCCGUCCGUUGCCUCUCCGCCGUCGCUUUGGUCGCCGGUAAGUUCGCCGUGCCGUCCGCUACCCGUUGGUGCCCUCCGUUUGCGUCCUCGCGCCGCCGUUCGCCGGCGAGCGUGUGCCGCCCGAGCCAUUCGCUCCGUCGAGCCGCCGCCGCCGUCGGUGACGUCAUUGCCGACGUCAUCAAGGCCGUCCGCCGUGAACCGCCGUGGACCCGAUUGAUCUCGGCCAUCCGUUUGGAUUGGAUCGAAUCUCGGCCGUCCGUUCGCGUGAACCGCCGCCCGUGCGCCCGGUCUACCGCAAACCCUAGCCCGCUGACACAAUAAAUCCCCUUUUCCUUUUCAAAAAUAAUUCAUUAUUGCGUCAUAAUUCAAUUUAAACCGAUUUAAGUGUUUUAAUCCGAUUUAAUCUUUAAAAAUUCAUAACUAAUUCAUCUUAGCUCCAAUUUAGUUGGUUCAAGUCUCUAAAUUUUUCUAAAAUUGAGAUCUACAUGUUAAAAAUAUCCACAUGUACUGUUCAUGCUUGUUUAUGUGCUGUGUUUGGUGUUUUUGCUCUUUUCUGUUUAGAUUCCGUCGUUUCCGGAGAGUCCGUUUUCGCCAGAGAAGAAUUUGAAGAGUUCCAAGGCCAGCAAGGCAAGUCACACAGAUCCCAAACAACCCUUUGAGCAUGUUGAUCCUAUUUAAAGCUAUUGUUUCUUUUCAACUAUUGCAUUUAUUUUCGAAUGUCAUUGGGUGGAAUUAACCUAUUCUUUGUUAUAGCCCCUUUUGUUCUUGAUUACUUUAUUCCUUGAUACCUUGGGUUAUUAUAACUUGACUAGUUGAGCUUUAUAUAUUGGUUCAACUAGAUAUAAGAUACAAUUGCUUAGCCCUGCUUAGAAACAUUAGCUCACUAUUGGGAUAACUUAUGACUCACUGUUAUUUAAUGAUGGCUUAACGAUAGUUCACGAUGGUCAAUCGUGAUUGGUUAAUUAAUUAAUGUGCCAACUAAAACCUGGUAAUGGUGGGUUGUGAGCACAUGGUUUUGAUGGUCGUGCUCAUGACAAUUAAGGACCGGUUCACGAGUUUCGGUUGUGAAACAUUAACCGUGCCAACCACAAGCCAGCAUGGGCAACGGCUUUAUCUUUUGUAUCGCACGGUUCAUUGCGGAGCACCAGACUGAGAAGUGGCGGAGAUAAGCCCACGGGGGUCGCUGGGGAGUCCAUGCCUUGUUUAUAAGGGGGUGAUUAUGAUCCAGGAAAGGUGCGCUGUAGUGGAUUGUGUUGUGCGAAGGGUAUUGUCACAACUCCUUUCCGAGGUACCGUGGUGGUAUUGAGGCACAUGGUGACAUGAUGUGGGGUUGUGUCUUGUGGGUACAGUGGUACACCUCUGAUCAGAGUAAAACUAUUCGAAUAGCCGUGCCCGCGGUUAUGGGCGGGUCUAAUAAUGUCUUUCGUCAUUAGUUUCACACUUCUCACCAUAGUAAAUGAUGCUAUAACUGGUAAUAAUUUGAUUAGCUCCUGGUUUGGAAUGGUAUAUUCCUAGUUUGGAGAUAGAACUGUGCAGCCGGGAUGGUUGUUCAGAAUGGUUGGGCCUAUGCAACAGGGUAUGUUGUAUAGCGUUGGUUUAAUAUUGUUUAAUUACUUAACUGUUUUACUAAAUUCUCAAAUGUUUGCUAAAUGCUGCUUUUGCAAAUGAAACCCUACUAUGCCGUCCUUUGUUAUCCUGUGCACUUGCAUAUUUGCUGCGUGGCUUGCUGAGUAUGUCAUAUACUCACCUUGCAAUCAUUCAUCAGAGGAAGAGUUCUACAGUGAAGCUGAAGGUGUGGAGGAUUAGGUGUAGCCUUGGUCAAGCUGCCUGUGGAGUGGAGUCGUCUGCGCCGUUUAUCUUAUUUUCCGCUGCUUAGAUCUUUAUUGAUUGAGAGGAACUAUCUACCUCUGUAAUGACAUUUUAUACGCUUAAUAAUUAGAGUAAUAACUGUACUCUAUUAUCAAUUUGUUAUUGUGUGCCUCGGCUGAUUCCUGGACGAGGGUUUACACACAUGUAAGCGUUUGGAAUUUUGGAUAGAAAUUCCGGGCGUGACAGCGACGGUCGCGAAUUAGCAAAUUCAUGGAACAUUGACCAACUACGUAAAUUCUAUGUAUGAGUCAAUACCAUUGUACCUGUAAGCACCCUUACAGUAUCAAUAAAGAUGACUUCUUGGUCUCAUAUAACGACCAAAGUGUUUUUACCCAACAACCCCUUACUCUGACGACGCCUAGCGUUGAAACCUGUCCUUAUGUCCCUUUACGCCGUCUCGACAAGGCCUCCGAGGAACCCAAGGGAUCUUCGGCUGGGGACGCCCAAAGCCGAUAAGGCCUUGUCAGAUCCUUCAGAGACGAAAGACCAUGUAAGAUCUGGUCGUGUAAGAGUUCUCGCCGUGCGUAUUAACCAAACCGUGUAAUCGGAAACUAAGCUUUCCAACUUCACGGCUGGAGGCUAAGAUCAGAGCUUAUUCAACCAAGACAGGCCAAGGGUCCAGAAGCCUUGUCACCCGAGGACAUCCCUCCGACGACAAGGCUGAGGGCUAGGGAGAGUGUACAACUCAAACGGCUAACUCCCGGCACACCCUGGCCAUCGAGGUGCAACAACUCUUCAGAUAAGACGAGAACCACACCUCGCGGCCUCGGAGCGUUUCCACAGCUUGAUCUUUCUUUACGGACAGCAUUGCUCUCUCGAGUUCCGCCACUUCAAAAUUCGUCUUCCAAUAUUGGAUACGACGAUCUUGGGUCGCAAGGGCAUCCUCGAGAUCUGCUGAACGUAAUGUCGCGUCCCAAAACGACUCUAAAAUACAUCCUCAAAAUUAUGCCGAGAAUAAUUAAAAUCCAUGUGAAAGCCUCCAACAAUUAAAAUGUGCAAAUUUAAAAGUCAAAUAAGGCUUGGAGGAUUUUUGUAUAUUUCCUAAAAACCUAAAAUGCGUAAAUAAAUUUUAGUGGAAUUUUCAGAGCACAAAUAAUAAUUGAGAAGAAAUAAACAAAGUUAAAAUGGUUUUAUAAAAAAAAAAACCCUAAAAAGUCUUCUUUUCCCCCCUUCCCUUCUUGGGCCGGCUCGGCCCAGCUCCCUCCCUCUGUCUCCUCUCCCCCGCGGCCCAUCGGCCUUCCCCCGCGCGCGCGCCGCUGACGAGCGGGCCCGCCCGCCACCCUCGCUGACGGGUGGGGCCCACCCGUCAUCCCCUACCUCGCGCCGCUCCCGCCGCCCGCCCGUGCCCUAGCGCCGCCGCCGCCGCCGAAUCCGUCGCAUCCCGCCGUCCCCGCGCGCCAUAAAGAGGGGGAAAUCACUCCCCGUGAUUCCCUCCCUCUUUCCCCCCACUUUUCCCUCUCUCUCUCCCUCGGAUUCGUUCGGAUUUACUCCCGCGAACUUCGCCGGCGCAUCAAUGGCGACCGGAUCUUCCGCGGCCGAUUCCCCCUCAUCCGGCCGCUCUCUCUCACUCCCGUCCCUAUUUAAACGCUCCCCGUGCCUCUCUCCUCCGUUUCCGCCACUCGCCGCUGUCUCUCCCCGUCGGAAUCGAGCCCGCGCCGUCGUCCUCUCUCUCCGCCGUCGCCACCGAGCUCCGGUUCGCCGCCGUCGUCGCCCCGGACCUCCUCCCGCUUCGGCAUCGCCUCCUUCGGCUUCGCCGCGUUCUCGUCGACCUCGUCCACUCCUCCGUUUCGCCCGCCGACCGCCGGAGCACCGCCGUCCUCGUCGACCCGAGCCGCGCCGCCGCCUCUCUCCGCUUCGGUCGCCGUUCCCGUCGUCGCCGUCGACCCGGGGUGAGCCGAGGACCGCCAUUUCGUUUCCCCCUUCCCUCCCCUCUCUCGGCCGCCGCUCCGCCGUGCAUAUGGCCGCCGCCGGCGACCAUAGGGGCGCGGGCGCGCCGCCUCCCGUCGGCCGUGCCGGCGAGGCCGCCUUCGGGCGCGCCCCGCGGCUGCCAGGUGGGCCCGGCCGUCAGCCGCCCGCGCCCUCGGGUGCGGCUGACGCGUGGGACCCACGCCGCCGGCCGGCGCAAGACGCGUGCACCCGGUCCACCGUGGACCGUGAGGCUGCCGCGUGGGCCCCACUCCCGUGGACCCGGUCCGCGCGCCCUCUCUCCCGACUGACGCAAUAAAUCCGAUUUUUAAUUAAAAUUUAAAUGAAGAAAUUCGCAAAUAUCCAUUUAAAGAGCAUAUAAACUUCAAAUGGCCAUAACUUGGCCAUUUGAACUCGGAAUUGGACCGUUCAAGUCUCUAAUUUUUCCUUAAGGAGUCAAGAACCCAUUUUUGUGCUUUGUUUCUGCUUGUUAUAUGGAGUUUAUUAGAGUAAUAGCCUUUUCUUUUCCGUUGGUCGUGUAGACGCUGCAGCUUCGGAAGACCCGCUCUUCGUGGAAGUCGAAGCCGACGUUUGGGAAAGCGAGCAAGGCAAGUCACAUCAUCUUUGAACAUAUUGAACCCCAGUUUGUAAAAUUAUGUUGAUUUAAAUUAUUGCAUUAUCGCUUUAUUUAAAUUCCCGCGUUAUCACUGUUUUAUUUAGCCAUGCCUAUUUACCUUUGUUAUGACCUUAUUAUUAUUGUUAUUGUUAUUAUUCCCUUGUUCACCCUAGAAUAAACAAAACCCCAACUAGUGGACACUCUACUUAUGGUAUCCCUAGUAUGAUUUUAGGUAGAUGCUUCGCUUUUAACUAGGUAACAUUAGGUGGUUUUUCAACCCUAGACUUUGGGAAUAUUCAUAUCACCUGGUCACUAUGGAAUGGUUUGGUUACUGUGGAAUUAGCUUCACAUCGCCCACUCUAUUCAAAAUCCCCAAAAUGGUUUUAGGCUGGGCUCGGGGUGCAUGGUUUUGAUAGUAGCACCUCGGCCAUAUAAGGACCGGUCUUCGGGCCUCUGUUGCAAAGCACUACCGUACUUCCACAUGUCUAGUGGGUAAGGCUUAGUUUGUGGCUCAGUCUGGUUAUAAACAAAAGUACACGGAUGGAGAUGGAUGAAGUCGGGGGUCGAUGGACAUUCUCCAGGGCAAAUGAAGGCUACACGAGCUGCGGCCCGGUAGUCGAGAUGUCAUGGCACAGGGCCGGUGUCCUGCUGCUAGGGGCUCAGUCCUGCCUGCCUGUCCCGGGGGUUCCGGCCGUAGGUGGGAUUGGGUCGGUACUCUUGUCUAUGGCCAGGAUGGGUUGGAAACUAUGUCACGUCUUCCGUCUGUAUACCGUGGUGGUAUGUGGCACGUGGUUGCACGUGAGGAAGAUGUGUCUUGUGGGUAAAGAUGUACACCUCUGAUCAGAGUAUAAUCUAUUCGAAUAGCCGCGCCCUCGGUUAUGGGCAAGCCGAGCAAUGUACCCAAGUUAGUGUUUUAAUUCUUAAAACUUGCUUAACAACUAAAAUGUGGAAUGGUUGGCCUGGGUUGGCUUGGGACGAGCUGGGACCCAGGGUCGGGUUGCCAGUUCGGUCCGAAUCAUCAUAGGCCUUGGGUUAAGGCAGGUUCGUGUGGGUUCACGGCCUUGAUUAAUAACAUUGUAUAGUACUAGAAUCGUGUUUACAAAAUAACUUGGGCAACUAAAUGUCUUUAAAUGCUGUUUACUGCAACCCUACCCCUUUAUAGUAUGACUCCUUUGUACUCCCUUGCAUUUAUUCCGCACUUGUGGGUGUGUCUUGUUGAGUACGGUGGUUGUACUCAGUCUUGCUCAAUUUUUCCCAACCCCAGAAGAGGAGUUCCUGGUUGAUGAAGGCUUCGGUGUCUAGCUCGUGCCUGCCGUCAAGCGCCUGUGGUCGUCGCCCUAGUCUUCCGCUGCUUCUCGUUUGUCUUUGUGUGUGCUGUGCCUUCGUCGCCCAUGUAAUAAAUUAACUAUUUACGCUUCCGCUUGUUAAACUCUGAAUUGUAUCAACUUUUGGUGUACCUUGCCUCCUGGGACAAGGAUUAAUGCACGCACGUAAGGAACGCCCGUUGGGUUAUUUCCGGUCGUGACAAGUUGGUAUCAAAGCCCCCUUGACCCUAGGACGAGCCGUAGAUCCCAAGCCUUAGCAGUAUUUUCGAAAUAAAAAUCCUUUGUUAUUUGUGAAAAUCCUCUAGUCUCUCUCUGUCUUGCUGCUUCAUUUAUCGCCAAAAUCUGAUCUCUAAAAUGUUGUUUUUCUUUUUUGUUUUUUUUAGAUGGCCGGCAGCGUCACCCAUCGUGGUUUGGACAUGACUGGCUUCGUCUUGGAGCUGCGGGGCAUGUGCAUUGUCCUGGGGUAUCCACAUGGAGUGGACUACCAGGCCAGGCCGCUUCCGGAGCAGGAGGGUGACGAUGCAGAGCCCCAUGCUGGUUGGGAGGUCACUGCAGUGAUCCUCUCUGGCUCUCCCUAGCGGACUUCGCUGGCAGUCACCGCGGGUGGAGAUUCCUUCCCAGCCGCCUGCCAGAGCGCCGCACUCCUCGCCAUCGGCACUCUUCACCAGCGCUACCUGGACGAGUUGCAGCACUCGCCCUACCGCUACCACCCUCGUCGCGGAGGAGCCCGUGACUACGCCACCUUCCGGGAUGCUAGCUCGGAGGAUGACGCUACCAUCGUGCACCUAGCGCGCAUGGUGGAGGCGUACGACGCGGCUCGUAUCGACUUCCAUCAGAUGGUGCGCCGUGGGAUGGUCGAGAACAACUUGAAAAUCCUAGAGCUGCGUCAGGAGAACCUGCAGCUCAAGAAGGACCUAGACGCGGUGGAGGCGCAGCUGCAUCAGCUCAAGAUCGCCCAGGGGGAGGUCUGCCGCCCCAAGCGUCGCCGCGUCUGCCGCAGCCAGAAGAUCACCGCCCGCAAGAGCACCUCCAGGCCCGAGCUUGUUCGUCAGUCCCUGGUGUGGUCUUGCUUCGUCGAGACCCCUCGUGCCGAGCCCGCGCCCGUGGUUCCCCAGGAGGGGGAAGCCUCCGGCGUUGGUAGCACGGAGGAUGCGCUGUUGCUCACCUUCCGCCCUGGCCCGUCGCAGCGGUAGACGAGCAGUUAGUAGGCUUGCGCGUGUGUUCUUUCUCGUUUGUCUUCUUGUUGGAGUUGUGUGAGGCAUGGUUAUGCCAGUGUGUGGCAUAACUAUGUCGGAGCCUGUCUUUAUUUUAUUUGCCUAAGCAACUUGAACUUUAAUGAACCAAUUUAAUAGCAGUAAUAAAUUCAAGAAUUAUGGAAGUCGUGGGUGGUUAGUUUUAAUUGUCAGCUCUCUCUGUUUGCUGGUCUGUGUGGGGUUUUCAGAUGGUGACGACCAGGAGAAAUGCUAAUACCGGUGAUGGCAACCAACCCGAAGGCAGCAACCACAACCACCAGGGCAACCCACCUCCACCUCCUCCUCCGCCUCCACCACCACCACCAGAUACCAACGCCAUUCUCACCCAAAUCCUCGCACAGCAAGCCAACAUGAUGACGGCUUUCCUCCACCACCUCCAAAAUCCGCCACAACAUAAUGCUCCCCCACCACCUCCCCAACACUCUAAACUCGCCGAGUUCCUCCGCAUCCGCCCACCCACCUUCUCUAGCUCCAACAACCCUGUGGAUGCGUUGGUUUGGUUGCAUGCCGUGGGGAAAAAGCUAGACACCGUGCAGUGCAGCGAUGAGGAGAAAGUCAUCUUCGCCGCCCACCAGCUGCAGGGGCCCGCAUCUCUAUGGUGGGACCAUUUCCAGGCUACGCAGCCAGAGGGGCAGCCUAUUACUUGGGCCCGUUUCACCGCCGCUUUCCGGAGGACCCAUGUGCCCGCCGGAGUCGUGGCUCUUAAGAAAAGGGAAUUCCGAGAGUUGAAGCAAGGCAACCGCUCCGUGAUGGAGUAUUUGCAUGAGUUCAACAACCUGGCCCGUUAUGCCCCGGAGGAUGUGCGGGAAGAUGAGGAGAAGCAAGAGAAGUUCUUGGCAGGAAUGGACCCUGAGCUGUCCGUCCAUCUAGUCUCCGGGGACUACCCGGACUUCCAACGUCUGGUGGACAAGAGCAUCCGCUUGGAAGCCAAGCACAAGGAGCUGGAGUCGCACAAGCGCCGCUUGGCGAAUUUCCGCAAUCAACAGGGUGCUAACCAAAGGGUCCGCUACACCAAUCCCUACCCAGGGGGAUCCUCCUCGCAGCAGCAACAACAGCAGCAGCAACCUCGCUCCGCGCCUCGACCUCAAUUCGUGGUGCGCGUCCCACAGCCGCAGCAGCAGCAGAAUCAACAAGGGACUCGUGCGCCCCGUCCUCCUACGCCAACUGUGCAGUCUGGUCAAGGCCGCAGGGACGCUCAAGGUCCGCAGCGUCUGUGCUACAACUGCUUCGAGCCCGGGCACUUUGCGGAUAAAUGCCCAAAGCCGAGGCGUCAGCAAGGCCAAGCGCCUCCCCGCUCCAACAACGGUGGGAAGGAUGUCAUUCGGGGUCGUGUGAACCAUGUGACGGCCGAGGACGUGCUGACAACUCCAGACGUCAUAGUUGGUACGUUCCUCAUUCAUUCCAUCCCUGCUACCAUUUUGUUCGACUCUGGAGCUUCCCACUCUUUUAUAUCUGUGCCAUUCGUGGGGAGAAAUCAGUUGGGGGUAGAAAGGCUUAGGAACCCCCUGCUCAUCACCACUCCUGGAGGGGUUAUGACAGCAAAGUAUUAUAGCCCUGCCGUUCCUAUAGAAAUUCAGGGGAUUCCUUUCCCCUCGGAUCUGAUUCUGCUAGACACCAAGAACUUGGAUGUGAUCCUUGGGAUGAAUUGGUUGGCUCAAUUCCAAGGAGUAGUGGAAUGCGCGAGACGCACUGUCACUCUGUACCGAGGGCCGGAACAACCUGUUGUUUUCUUUGCACCCCCAACUUCUGUCAGAAGUUCAGAACUGCAUCAGAUCGGACUGUCAGAAAUCCCCAUAGUCAGGGAGUUCGGAGACGUGUUUCCGGAAGAACUACCCGGUAUGCCGCCCAAGCGAGAGAUUGAGUUCCGGAUAGAUCUUGCUCCAGGAACCACUCCUCUGUACAAGCGACCCUACCGUAUGGCAUGUCACAUCCCAAAAAUCCUAAAUAUUUAAAUUGGUGUUUAAUUGGAAUUUUUAGAAAUUAUUUUAAAAGCCUACAAGCUAAACCCUAAUUUUCUAGGAAAAUUUCCAACAUAAAAAUGAGCUAGAUAAAAUUUUAUUAAAUACUAUGCUUGCUCCUCUAUUUUCUAGAAUUUUCUGGGAAUUAUUUGAGCAAGGGAAGUAUUUUUAAUAAUUGAAACAACAUUUUACAAAUUGUUUUAUUCAAAAAAGUUCAAAAUCUCCCCUCCUAGGCCGUUGGGCCGAUUUCGGCCCAACUCCUCCCUCCUUUCUCUCUCUCCCGCGCUCGGCCCAGCUCGGCCCAAGCCGUCGCCCGCGCCCGCGCGCCCCUCUCUCCCGGAGGCUGACAGGUGGGGCCCACCUGUCAGGUCCUUCCCCUACCUCCCGCCGCCGCGCCGCCGGAGCCCGAACCCUAGCCGGUUUUGCGCCGUCGAUUCCGACCGAUUCCGAUCCGACCCCGUCCAAUUGAUUGAGGGGUUUUGUUCCUCUCGGUCUCCUCUUCCUUUUCCCCCAAGAAUCAAAGCAAAUGGUUGAGUUUUGGAUGAGAUUUGAAUUCGGUUUCGAGUUUAUCUCCAAAAACGAGUCCGAGUUCUUCGCGAUUUGAUUCCUCCCGUUUGCGGCUCGAUCUCUUCGAUUUGAGCUCAUAUAAAUGUUCCCCGUGAUCUUCUCUCUCGUUUGCCCCCUUUCCCGAGUCCUCCCGUGCCUCCUAGCGCCGCCGCGACGCGUCGCAAGUUCGCCGCCGCCGCCGGCCUUCUCCGGCAACGCCGCCGCGCCGUCUCCGUCGUCGCCGCCGGUCGCCGUCACCGCCGUUAGCUUCGUCGUGAGGAGAGGAAGGCCGUCCGCCCCUCCGUUUGUGUCGCCGACCACCGGAGCCCGCCGUCCGCCGUCGACCCGAGCCGCCGCCGCCUUCUUCUUCGUCGCCGGCCGCCGUCGUGCAUCGUCUCGUGUCGGGGUGGGUACCGUUGAGUUCGUCUCGUCGCCCUCUUCGCGUUGGUGCCCUCCAAUCUCGCCGCCGAUGUCCCUAGCGCCGGCGAGCUCGCGUGCCCGAGCCGGCCGCCGUCGCUGACGUCAUGCCGACGUCAACCCUAGGGCUGACGUCAUCAACGUCAGGGCUGACGUCAUCCUUUGCUCUUUUUCCUUUUUCUCGAUUUUCUAAUAGAUUAAAACUUUGAAAAAUCAUAACUAAAUAACCGUAGAUCCGUUUUAGGUGGUUCAAGUUUCUAAAUUCUUCUAAAAUCAAGAUCUACAAAUUUAAAAAUAUCCACAUGUACUGUUUAUGCUUGUUUUUGUACUGUUUUGUUGAUUUUGUUUAUUUGCUUUAGUUUCCGACGUUCCGGAGGAGAGCGUUUCCGUUGAGGAAGGUUCCGAAGCGUUUGUGGAAGCUCAAGGCAAGUCACACAGAUCCCAAACAACCCUUUGAGCAUGUUGAUCCCGUUUAAAGCUAUUAUUUUAUUUCAACUGUGCAUUGUUUUCGAAUGUCAUUGGGUGGUGAGCCUUUCCCAGUAAUUAAUGACCGAAGUUGACUUUAUUUUCCUAUGGGUUAUAAAUUGAUUAGCAUGAACCUUAUAUAUUGGAUUGGUUCAGCUAAAUGCUAUUCAUAGGUUUUGCUUAGCCAUGCCUAGAAACAUUAGCUAACUAAAAGGGUUAAUGGUAAACUAUAUUUUAUGUUAAUAAUUGUGGUUAUUUAAUGGUAGCUCACGAUGGUCAAUCGUGUGAUGUUAACUAAUUGAUAACUAAAACCUGACUAAGGUGGGUUGUGAGCAUAUGGUUUUGAUGGUUGUGCUCAUGGCAAUUAAGGACCGGUUCGCGAGCUACUGUUGUGAAACAUUUAUCGUGCCAACCACAAGCCAGCGUGGGCAACGGCUUUAUUUUUCGUAUAGCAUGAUUCAUUAUAGUGCAUCAGACUGAGAAGUGGCGAGAAGUCCAUGGGGGUCGCUGGGGAGUCCAUGCCUUGUUUUAAAGGGGGUGAUUAUGAUCCAGGAAAGGUGCACUGUGGUGAGUUGUGUUAUGCGAGGGAUAUUGUCACAAUUCCUUUCCGAGAUACCGUGGUGGUACUGAGGCACAUGGUAACAUGAUGUGGGGUUGUGUCUUGUGGGUACAGUGGUACACCUCUGAUCAGAGUUUAAACUAUUCGAAUAGCCGUACCCGCGGUUAUGGGUGAGUUGAGCAAUGUUUUUCGUGAUUAGUCUCACACUACUCAUUAAUGGUAAUUGUGGUAACUAAUUUAGUUCCUGGUUUGGAAUGGUUAAUUCCUGGUUUGGAGGGUUAAUUUGUUCAGCCGGGGUUGGUUGUUCAAAUGGGGUUGGGCCUAUGCAACACGGGUGUGUUGUAUGGUGUUGGUUAAUAUUGAUUAAUUAUUCAACUGUUUUAUUAUUCUCUUAAAUAUUUAUUAAAUGCUGUUUUCUGCAAAUGAGCUAUAUUAUGCCAUUCUUUGUUAUCCUGUGCACUUGCAUAUUUGCUGUGUGGCUUGUUGAGUAUGUUAUAUGCUCAUUCUUGCAAUAUUCAUUCAUCAGAGGAGGAGUACUUCAGUGAAGGUGAUGAUCUUGAGGAUUGAGUUUAUUCUGGUUAAGUUGCCUGUGGAGUGGAGUUGCCGUCGCUGUUCCGUAGAUUGUUUUAGUUUUAUCUUUCCGCUGCGUAGAAUGUUUAUCUUUGAGAGGAACUAUCCACCUCUGUAAUAAUUUAUUAUUUGUGAGUAUUAAAUAGUUAUUUAUUUGUACUCUAUUAUCAAUAUUGUCAUUGUGUGCCUCGGUUGAUUCCUGGACGAGGGUUUAACACAUAUGUAAGCGUUUGGAAUUUUGGAUAGAAAUUCCGGGCGUGACAAGUUGGUAUCAGAGCCACCUUGACCGUAGGAUAAGCCAAAUGGUAAACCUUAAGUAGCCUUCAAAAUAUUUUGAAAAAUUUUGAACUGCUCUCCUCUAUUCUCUUAUAAAUUAAUUAAGUUGGCAGCACAUGCAAGGUUCCUCACAAAAAUUUAUUUAAUUCAAAUUCUUUUCUUUUAAAAGCAAAAGCUGUUCUUUUCUUUUAAAAGCAAAAGUGGAUCUUUUCAAAAGGUUUUCUUUCCCUUUACCCAAACCUUAAUGAUUAGUCGGCACUGUACAUUUAUUAUGGUAUCGAAUUAAUCAUGUUAGCACUAGUACUACUCAUCUUUCCUAUGGUGACACUGUACCGUGCUUAUAAUAGAUCAUAAUUGUUUUAGCUUUAUUUUUGUCAAAAAAAAAAUAUAAAUACAUUUAUAAAAUGGUUUUUGUAUGUGUCUUUUCUUCCUUUUUGGUCAAAAAUCAGUAAAGUUAGCUGCACCAACUGGACCUAACUUAAAAUAUGCUUUAUUUCUUCUCUUCUAUGUCUCUUUAGAUGCCGCACCGUUCACCGAGAAAUUUGAUCAAGGUAUUAGGAUUUGUCAGGGAGCUGAGGUUGAUGGCUUUUGAAGUAGGCUAUGAAGUUGCUCCUGAGUAUCGCCAGAUUCCCCAUGACCCCGACGAGGAGAAGUGUCGGGUUCGUGCGACGUUGGCUAGUGAUAGUGAAGACCUUCCGUCUUUUAAGUUCGAAGCUGGAGGAAGAUCGUACAGCCAUGCUUGUCAAGAAGUAGCUUUGGUGGCCAUUGGAGAGUUGCGUCAACACUUUGAAGAAGAGUUGGAUUCGUCAGCUUUCCAGUAUCAUCCCCACAAGCCUCAUGGUCAAGACUAUGGAUCUUAUACCUGUCCUGAUGGCGAAGAGAGUGCUACUCUGAUGCAUGUGGUGCAUAUGCUUAAUGCUAUGGAUACAGUAGGUGUGGAGCGAGAGAAGGCAGCUCAUGACCGGGAAAACUGGAAUCGAGAUAAGAUUUGUAAGUUGAAGAGCAAGGUGAACCGUCUACAGAAGGAAUUAGCUGAACUUAAGGGAGAGACGCCGCCGCCAACAUCCAAGCUUCGCCUCACUGCAAGAAAGAGAACCUGUCUGCCCCCUCGUCUCCAGUUAGCUUCGAAGAUUCGCGUGAUGGGAGAAGCUGUGCCUGAUCGAGCUGAACCUGUUAUCGACAUCAUAAGUGAUGAGGAAGAAGAGGAAGAUCCUGAAGAAAGAGAGCCAGCUACUCCAGAGGAAGAAGAUUCAUCGCUUCGUUCCGACGCAAGGCGGAAUUAGUCGCUUAGUUAGAUCGUUGCCAUAGUUCGUUGUGUUAGAUUGCUUGUUUAAGUUUGCUUGUGAGUGUGUGGGUUUUAGUUGUUGCUUACAUCAUGGGUGGGAUGUAACAGCAUGAGUCUAGUUCUUUGCUUGUCAGAGUGGUGAGGUAGUGUUAAUGCAAGUUAAAUGUAAUCAUACACAGUUAAGAGCAAUAUAGAAUUUAAAUUAAUUAAAUAACUCUGUUCUAGGGGUGUCUCUCUGUCUUUCUUUCCUGUUUUCUCUGCUUCGUCAGAUGGUGAACACACGCACCGGCACUGGAAGUGGAAGUGGAAGUGGAAACAAUAACAAUGAGGGAGAACCUACGCUAGCUCAGAUUUUGGCCCAACAAACACAACUGAUCAAUCUGUUAGUGCAGUAGGCACAGAAUCAGCAAGGAAAUAAUCAGAACCAGAAUCCACCCCCUCCUCCCCAAAAUAAGCUGGCAGAUUUCUUACGUGUCAGACCCCCUACCUUUUCAAGCACAACCAAUCCAGUAGAAGCAGGAGAUUGGUUGCAUGCAGUGGAGAAGAAGUUGGACUUAAUCCAGUGUACUGAGCAGGAGAAAGUUUCUUUUGCUUCGCAUCAAUUGCAUGGACCUGCUGCUGAAUGGUGGGAUCAUUUUCGCCAAGGCAGGGCUGGAGGAGAACCUAUCACUUGGCAGGAAUUCACAGCCGCUUUUAAGAAGACACAUAUACCAACGGGUGUUGUAGCUCUGAAGAAGAGGGAGUUUAGAGCACUCAACCAGGGAUCUCGUUCGGUUACUGAGUAUCUCCAUGAUUUUAACCGUUUAGCACGCUAUGCUCCAGAAGAUGUUCACACUGAUGAGGAACGUCAGGAGAAGUUUUUGGAGGGACUAAAUGAUGAGUUGUCCUAUACUUUGAUGUCUACGGAAUUCCGGGAUUUCCAGCAGUUGGUGGACAAAGCGAUUCGCCAGGAAGACAAGUAUAAUCGCAUGGAACAGAAGAAGCGCAGGGCUGCUCAAUUUAAGGCACAACAGGGCAGUAACCAGAGGCCGCGUCUUAUUCCUGGACCUCAAGUCCCAUCGUACCCGCAAGGAGGAUCUUCAUCAGUUGUCCGUCCCCAACGCCAGUUCUACAACAACAAUACUGGUAAUCGUGGCAAUGAAAACCGCAACGUAGUCGCUCGUCCCGCAGCAACUCCAGUUCAGAACCAGCCUGUCAGGAAGGAACAGGGAAGCAAGCCGGUGAUAUGCUUCAAUUGUGGUGAUCCAGGACAUUAUGCUGAUAAGUGUCCGAAGCCUCGGCAUGUGAAGAACGUUCCGGUCCCGAAUAACUCCAAUGUCCCAGCACCAAAGGCACGUGUUAAUCAUGUUGCAGCCGCAGAAGCUCAGAAUGCACCAGACGUGGUUUUGGGUACGUUUCCUGUUAACUCUAUACCCGCAACUGUGCUUUUUGAUUCCGGUGCUACACAUUCCUUUUUGUCUAAAAGUUUUGCGACCAAACAUGGGAUGGAAGUUGUUAGUCUUGGGAGACCUUUACUAGUUAAUACCCCAGGCAACCAAGUGUUUUCGACACGGUAUUGUCCUUCCGUUACCAUAGAAAUAGAAGGAGUUCCUUUCCCAUCCUCUCUUAUCCUGCUAGAAUCCAAAGAUCUAGAUGUUAUCUUAGGGAUGGAUUGGUUAUCUCGUCACAGAGGAGUUAUAGAUUGUGCCAAUCGCAAGGUGACUUUAACCAAUAGCAAUGGGGAAACUGUUUCUUUCUUUGCGUCCUCUCCUAAAUCUCAUGGUGUGGUCUUAAACCAAGUUGCUCUACAAGAGAUUCCUAUAGUGCAAGACUACCCAGAUGUAUUUCCGGAGGAUUUGCCAGGUAUGCCACCUAAGAGAGAUAUAGAAUUUCGGAUAGACUUGGUACCUGGAACCAACCCAAUCCAUAAGAGACCAUACAGAAUGGCAGCUAAUGAGUUGGCUGAGGUGAAGAAACAGGUGGAUGAUUUGCUUCAGAAAGGAUACAUCAGACCCAGUACUUCGCCAUGGGGAGCACCAGUUAUCUUUGUGGAGAAGAAAGAUCAUACUCAGAGAAUGUGCGUGGAUUAUCGAGCGUUGAAUGAGGUCACUAUCAAAAAUAAGUAUCCUCUACCCAGAAUUGAUGAUCUGUUUGAUCAAUUGAAAGGUGCUACAGUUUUCUCCAAGAUAGAUCUCCGUUCUGGAUAUCAUCAACUUCGAAUUCGUGAGGAGGAUAUACCAAAGACCGCCUUUACGACUCGGUAUGGUUUGUUUGAGUGUACCGUCAUGUCAUUUGGACUCACUAAUGCCCCAGCCUUUUUCAUGAAUCUGAUGAACAAGGUGUUUAUGGAAUAUCUGGAUAAGUUUGUUGUGGUGUUUAUUGAUGACAUUCUUAUUUAUUCCAAGACGAAGGAAGAACAUAAAGAGCAUCUUCGUCUAGCUUUAGAGAAACUACGUGAGCAUCAGCUUUAUGCCAAGUUCAGUAAAUGUGAAUUUUGGUUGUCCGAAGUGAAGUUUCUUGGUCAUGUCAUCUCAUCUGGAGGAGUGGCAGUAGAUCCAAGCAAUGUGGAGUCAGUGUUAAGUUGGAAGCAACCCAAGACGGUUUCAGAAGUUCGUAGUUUCCUUGGACUUGCUGGGUAUUACCGCAGGUUUAUUGAGAACUUUUCAAAGAUCGCCAGACCAAUGACUCGUCUGCUUCAGAAGGAAGUGAAGUAUAAGUGGACAGAAGAUUGUGAGCAAAGUUUCCAAGAACUGAAGAAAAGGCUAGUGACUGCGCCUGUGUUAAUUUUGCCUGAUUCGAGGAAAGGUUUCCAAGUGUAUUGUGAUGCAUCCCGACUCGGUUUGGGUUGUGUGUUGAUGCAAGAAGGAAAGGUGGUUGCUUAUGCAUCUAGGCAAUUACGUCCUCAUGAGAAUAACUACCCAACGCAUGACCUAGAGUUGGCAGCAGUGGUGCAUGCAUUGAAGAUUUGGCGUCAUUAUCUUUACGGUAACCGUACAGAGGUGUAUACGGAUCAUAAAAGUCUGAAGUACAUUUUCACUCAACCUGAUUUGAACAUGCGUCAGCGAAGAUGGUUAGAGUUGAUUAAAGACUAUGAUAUGGAAAUCCAUUAUCAUCCGGGGAAAGCAAAUGUUGUAGCCGAUGCUCUUAGCAGGAAAAGCUACUGCAAUAUGUCAGAAGGUAGAUGUUUACCUUGGGAGUUAUGCCAAGAAUUUGAAAAGUUGAACUUGGGAAUAGUCAGCAAAGGUUUUGUAGCUGCUUUGGAAGCUAAACCUACUCUAUUUGAUCAAAUUAGAGAGGCUCAAGUGAAUGAUCCUUAUAUCCAGGAAAUAAAGAAGAACAUGAGAAGAGGUAAAGCCAUCGGUUUUGUAGAAGAUGAGCAAGGUACUGUAUGGUUAGGAGAAAGAAUUUGCGUCCCAGAAAAUAAGGAGUUGAAGGAUACUAUCAUGAAAGAAGCUCAUGAAACUUUGUAUUCUAUUCACCCUGGAAGCACUAAGAUGUAUCAGGAUUUAAAGCAACAAUUCUGGUGGGCCAGUAUGCGACGUGAGAUAGCAGAAUAUGUGGCUCUAUGUGAUGUUUGUCAGCGGGUCAAGGCAGAACAUCAGAAGCCAGCCGGUCUAUUACAGCCGUUGAAGAUUCCAGAGUGGAAGUGGGAAGAAAUAGGGAUGGAUUUUAUAACCGGUCUACCCAGAACGUCGGCAGGACAUGAUUCUAUUUGGGUAGUGGUUGAUCGGUUGACCAAAGUCGCUCACUUCAUACCAGUCAAAACAACUUAUACGGGACAUAAGCUUGCAGAGUUAUACAUGGCCAGAGUGGUAUGUUUGCAUGGUGUACCUAAGAAGAUAGUGUCAGAUAGAGGAAGUCAGUUUACUUCGAAGUUUUGGCAGAAGUUACAAUCAGAAUUGGGUACUCGUUUGAAUUUCAGUACGGCUUAUCACCCUCAAACAGAUGGUCAGACGGAAAGAGUAAACCAAAUUUUAGAGGAUAUGUUGAGAGCCUGUGUUCUAGAUUUUGGUGGAAGUUGGGAUAAGAAUUUGCCGUAUGCGGAAUUCUCAUAUAACAAUAGUUAUCAAGCUAGUUUGCAAAUGUCUCCGAAUGAAGCAUUAUAUGGUCGAAAGUGCCGUACGCCGCUUCUUUGGGAUCAAACCGGUGAGCGUCAAGUUUUCGGGACAGACAUAUUGCGAGAAGCGGAAGAAAAAGUGAAGAUUAUCCAAGAAAGGUUGCGCGUUGCUCAGUCGUGUCAGAAGAGCUAUGCCGACAAUCGUCGCAGAGAUUUAGUUUUUGAAGAAGGAGAUUAUGUGUAUCUUCGGGUUACGCCGUUACGAGGAGUUCAUCGUUUCCAAACCAAAGGGAAAUUGGCACCGCGUUUUGUGGGACCUUUUAAGAUCGUGAGUCGAAGAGGUGAAGUAGCUUAUCAGUUAGAGUUGCCUCCGUCAAUGGCGGGAAUACAUGAUGUGUUCCAUGUGUCUCAGUUGAAGAAAUGCUUACGUGUACCUACGGAGGAAGCAGAUCCUGAUUGUAUAGAGCUUCAGGAAGAUUUAACUUAUGUUGAGAAGCCAGUCAGAAUCUUGGAAGUAAGCGAGAGGAAAACCAGAAAUCGCGUUAUACGGUUCUGUAAGGUUCAGUGGAGUAAUCAUUCAGAAGAAGAAGCCACUUGGGAGCGAGAAGAUGAAUUGAAGUCAGCUCAUCCCCAUCUGUUCUCUAGUUCUUCUGAAUCUCGAGGACGAGAUUCUGUUUAAGGGGGGUAGGUUUGUCACAUCCCAAAAAUCCUAAAUAUUUAAAUUGGUGUUUAAUUGGAAUUUUUAGAAAUUAUUUUAAAAGCCUACAAGCUAAACCCUAAUUUUCUAGGAAAAUUUCCAACAUAAAAAUGAGCUAGAUAAAAUUUUAUUAAAUACUAUGCUUGCUCCUCUAUUUUCUAGAAUUUUCUGGGAAUUAUUUGAGCAAGGGAAGUAUUUUUAAUAAUUGAAACAACAUUUUACAAAUUGUUUUAUUCAAAAAAGUUCAAAAUCUCCCCUCCUAGGCCGUUGGGCCGAUUCCGGCCCAACUCCUCCCUCCUUUCUCUCUCUCCCGCGCUCGGCCCAGCUCGGCCCAAGCCGUCGCCCGCGCCCGCGCGCCCCUCUCUCCCGGAGGCUGACAGGUGGGGCCCACCUGUCAGGUCCUUCCCCUACCUCCCGCCGCCGCGCCGCCGGAGCCCGAACCCUAGCCGGUUUUGCGCCGUCGAUUCCGACCGAUUCCGAUCCGACCCCGUCCAAUUGAUUGAGGGGUUUUGUUCCUCUCGGUCUCCUCUUCCUUUUCCCCCAAGAAUCAAAGCAAAUGGUUGAGUUUUGGAUGAGAUUUGAAUUCGGUUUCGAGUUUAUCUCCAAAAACGAGUCCGAGUUCUUCCCGAUUUGAUUCCUCCCGUUUGCGGCUCGAUCUCUUCGAUUUGAGCUCAUAUAAAUGUUCCCCGUGAUCUUCUCUCUCGUUUGCCCCCUUUCCCGAGUCCUCCCGUGCCUCCUAGCGCCGCCGCGACGCGUCGCAAGUUCGCCGCCGCCGCCGGCCUUCUCCGGCAACGCCGCCGCGCCGUCUCCGUCGUCGCCGCCGGUCGCCGUCACCGCCGUUAGCUUCGUCGUGAGGAGAGGAAGGCCGUCCGCCCCUCCGUUUGUGUCGCCGACCACCGGAGCCCGCCGUCCGCCGUCGACCCGAGCCGCCGCCGCCUUCUUCUUCGUCGCCGGCCGCCGUCGUGCAUCGUCUCGUGUCGGGGUGGGUACCGUUGAGUUCGUCUCGUCGCCCUCUUCGCGUUGGUGCCCUCCAAUCUCGCCGCCGAUGUCCCUAGCGCCGGCGAGCUCGCGUGCCCGAGCCGGCCGCCGUCGCUGACGUCAUGCCGACGUCAACCCUAGGGCUGACGUCAUCAACGUCAGGGCUGACGUCAUCCUUUGCUCUUUUUCCUUUUUCUCGAUUUUCUAAUAGAUUAAAACUUUGAAAAAUCAUAACUAAAUAACCGUAGAUCCGUUUUAGGUGGUUCAAGUUUCUAAAUUCUUCUAAAAUCAAGAUCUACAUGUUAAAAAUAUCCACAUGUACUGUUUAUGCUUGUUUUUGUACUGUUUUGUUGAUUUUGUUUAUUUGCUUUAGUUUCCGACGUUCCGGAGGAGAGCGUUUCCGUUGAGGAAGGUUCCGAAGCGUUUGUGGAAGCUCAAGGCAAGUCACACAGAUCCCAAACAACCCUUUGAGCAUGUUGAUCCCGUUUAAAGCUAUUAUUUUAUUUCAACUGUGCAUUGUUUUCGAAUGUCAUUGGGUGGUGAGCCUUUCCCAGUAAUUAAUGACCGAAGUUGACUUUAUUUUCCUAUGGGUUAUAAAUUGAUUAGCAUGAACCUUAUAUAUUGGAUUGGUUCAGCUAAAUGCUAUUCAUAGGUUUUGCUUAGCCAUGCCUAGAAACAUUAGCUAACUAAAAGGGUUAAUGGUAAACUAUAUUUUAUGUUAAUAAUUGUGGUUAUUUAAUGGUAGCUCACGAUGGUCAAUCGUGUGAUGUUAACUAAUUGAUAACUAAAACCUGACUAAGGUGGGUUGUGAGCAUAUGGUUUUGAUGGUUGUGCUCAUGGCAAUUAAGGACCGGUUCGCGAGCUACUGUUGUGAAACAUUUAUCGUGCCAACCACAAGCCAGCGUGGGCAACGGCUUUAUUUUUCGUAUAGCAUGAUUCAUUAUAGUGCAUCAGACUGAGAAGUGGCGAGAAGUCCAUGGGGGUCGCUGGGGAGUCCAUGCCUUGUUUUAAAGGGGGUGAUUAUGAUCCAGGAAAGGUGCACUGUGGUGAGUUGUGUUAUGCGAGGGAUAUUGUCACAAUUCCUUUCCGAGAUACCGUGGUGGUACUGAGGCACAUGGUAACAUGAUGUGGGGUUGUGUCUUGUGGGUACAGUGGUACACCUCUGAUCAGAGUUUAAACUAUUCGAAUAGCCGUACCCGCGGUUAUGGGUGAGUUGAGCAAUGUUUUUCGUGAUUAGUCUCACACUACUCAUUAAUGGUAAUUGUGGUAACUAAUUUAGUUCCUGGUUUGGAAUGGUUAAUUCCUGGUUUGGAGGGUUAAUUUGUUCAGCCGGGGUUGGUUGUUCAAAUGGGGUUGGGCCUAUGCAACACGGGUGUGUUGUAUGGUGUUGGUUAAUAUUGAUUAAUUAUUCAACUGUUUUAUUAUUCUCUUAAAUAUUUAUUAAAUGCUGUUUUCUGCAAAUGAGCUAUAUUAUGCCAUUCUUUGUUAUCCUGUGCACUUGCAUAUUUGCUGUGUGGCUUGUUGAGUAUGUUAUAUGCUCAUUCUUGCAAUAUUCAUUCAUCAGAGGAGGAGUACUUCAGUGAAGGUGAUGAUCUUGAGGAUUGAGUUUAUUCUGGUUAAGUUGCCUGUGGAGUGGAGUUGCCGUCGCUCUUCCGUAGAUUGUUUUAGUUUUAUCUUUCCGCUGCGUAGAAUGUUUAUCUUUGAGAGGAACUAUCCACCUCUGUAAUAAUUUAUUAUUUGUGAGUAUUAAAUAGUUAUUUAUUUGUACUCUAUUAUCAAUAUUGUCAUUGUGUGCCUCGGUUGAUUCCUGGACGAGGGUUUAACACACAUGUAAGCGUUUGGAAUUUUGGAUAGAAAUUCCGGGCGUGACAUGGCAGCAAAUGAACUGGCCGAAGUCAAGAAACAGUUGGAAGAGUUGAAAGAAAAGGGGUAUAUACGUCUGAGUACUUCCCCCUGGGGUGCUCUUGUGAUUUUUGUGGAGAAGAAAGACAAGACGAAGAGGAUGUGCGUUGACUACAGAGCUCUCAAUGAAGUCACCAUCAAAAACAAGUAUCCUCUUCCCCGGAUCGAUGAUCUGUUCGAUCAGCUUAAGGGUGCCACUGUAUUCUCCAAGAUUGAUCUUCGUUCCGGAUAUCACCAAUUACGUAUCCGUGAGGAAGAUAUCCCUAAGACCGCGUUCACCACGCGAUACGGAGUGUAUGAAUUUACGGUGAUGUCGUUCGGUUUAACCAAUGCACCUGCCUUCUUCAUGAACUUAAUGAACAAAGUGUUCAUGGAAUACUUGGAUAAGUUUGUUGUGGUUUUCAUCGAUGACAUUCUGAUAUACUCGCAAUCAGAGGAAGACCAUCAGCACCAUCUCCGUCUGGUGUUGGGAAAGUUGCGGGAACAUCAAUUGUAUGCCAAACUUAGCAAGUGUGAGUUCUGGUUGUCCGAAGUCAAAUUCCUAGGGCACGUGAUAUCUGCUAAAGGAGUUGCUGUGGACCCCGAAACAGUGACCGCCGUCACUGAUUGGAAGCAACCCAAGACAGUCACCCAAAUUCGCAGUUUCUUAGGUUUGGCAGGAUACUACCGGAGAUUCAUCGAGAACUUCUCCAAAAUCGCUCGACCCAUGACACAGUUGUUGAAGAAAGAGGAGAAAUUUGUGUGGAGCCCGCAAUGCGAGAAGGCGUUCCAAACUCUCAAAGAAAAGCUGGUUUCCUCGCCGGUGUUAAUCUUGCCGGAUACUCGCAAGGACUUCGUGGUGUAUUGUGACGCUUCGCGCCAAGGAUUGGGGUGCGUGCUCAUGCAGGACGGUCAUGUGGUGGCCUACGCCUCACGCCAGCUACGGCCUCAUGAAGGCAACUACCCUACCCAUGAUUUGGAGUUAGCAGCGGUGGUUCAUGCUCUAAAAAUCUGGCGGCACUAUCUCAUUGGGAAUCGCUGUGAAAUAUAUACGGAUCAUAAGAGUUUGAAAUACAUCUUCACUCAGUCGGACCUGAAUCUUCAGCAGAGGAGAUGGUAAGAGCUCAUCAAGGAUUAUGAUGUGGAAAUUCACUAUCAUCCUGGUAACGGAACCCUAUGGAACGGAAAUCGGGUAUGCGUUCCGGAUAACAGGGAACUUAAACAGCUGAUACUUCAGGAAGCUCACGAAAGUCCUUAUUCCAUCCACCCUGGCAGUACGAAGAUGUACUUAGACUUGAAGGAGAAAUACUGGUGGGUUAGUAUGAAGCGGGAAAUUGCAGAGUUCGUGGCCCUGUGUGAUGUGUGCCAGCGUGUCAAGGCAGAGCACCAACGACCGGCCGGACUUCUCCAACCUCUCCAAGUACCAGAAUGGAAAUGGGAUGAAAUUGGGAUGGAUUUCAUCACCGGACUUCCAAAAACCCAAGGCGGAUAUGAUUCUAUAUGGGUAGUGGUGGAUCGACUAACCAAGGUAGCUCGAUUUAUUCCUGUGAAGACCACCUAUGGAGGGAACAAACUAGCCGAGCUCUACUUCGCUAGGAUCGUGAGUCUCCAUGGCGUUCCCAGGAAAAUCGUAUCUGAUAGGGGAAGCCAAUUCACCUCUCACUUUUGGAAGAAGCUCCAAGAAGAGCUGGGUACCCGAUUAAAUUUCAGCACCGCGUAUCACCCGCAGACAGAUGGACAGACCGAGCGUCUAAAUCAGAUCCUAGAAGAUAUGCUUCGCGCAUGCGUCCUAGAUUUCAGGAAGACCUAGGAUAAGAGUCUCCCCUAUGCCAAGUUCUCCUACAACAACAGCUACCAAGCCAGCAUACAAAUGGCACCUUAUGAAGUGUUGUACGGGCGCAAAUGCCGGACACCACUAUUGUGGGACCAAGUUGGAGAAAGCCAAGUGUUCGGGACUGAUAUCCUGAGAGAAGCUGAAGCUAAAGUCAGAACCAUUCGGGAGAAUCUAAAGGUGGCCCAGUCUCGGCAGAAAAAUUAUGCGGAUAACCGACGCCGUGAUCUGGAAUUCGCAGUGGAUGACUUUGUGUAUCUUCGGGUCACGCCAUUGCGAGGUGUACACAGGUUUUAGACAAAGGGGAAGCUCGCACCUCGGUAUGUGGGUCCUUUCCGUAUCAUUGCUCGGCGCGGGGAAGUCGCUUACCAGCUGGAGCUGCCCGCCUCCUUGGGCAACGUGCAUGAUGUGUUUCAUGUGUCUCAACUCAAGAAAUGUCUUCGAGUGCCAUCCGAGCAGGCCGACUCAAAGCAAAUUGAAGUUCGCGAAGAUUUGACCUACGUGGAGAGGCCAGUGAAAAUCCUGGACACCAUGGAGCGCAGGACCAGGAACCGGGUAAUCCGUUUUUGCAAGGUCCAGUGGAGCAACCACGCCGAAGAAGAAGCUACUUGGGAGCGUGAAGACGAGCUGAAGGCAGCCCAUCCCGAUCUCUUCGCCAGUUCUUCCGAAUCUCGGGGUCGAGAUUCCGUUUAAGGGGGGUAGGUUUGUCGCGUCCCAAAACGACUCUAAAAUACAUCCUCAAAAUUAUGCCGAGAAUAAUUAAAAUCCAUGUGAAAGCCUCCAACAAUUAAAAUGUGCAAAUUUAAAAGUCAAAUAAGGCUUGGAGGAUUUUUGUAUAUUUCCUAAAAGCCAAAAAUGCGUACAUAAAUUUUAGUGGAAUUUUCAGAGCACAAAUAAUAAUUGAGAAGAAAUAAACAAAGUUAAAAUGGUUUUAUAAAAAGAAAAACCCUAAAAAGUCUUCUUUUCCCCCCCCUUCCCUUCUUGGGCCGGCUCGGCCCAGCUCCCUCCCUCUCUCUCCUCUCCCCCGCGGCCCAUCGGCCUUCCCCCGCGCGCGCGCCGCUGACGGGUGGGCCCGCCCGCCACCCUCGCUGACGGGUGGGGCCCACCCGUCAUCCCCUACCUCGCGCCGCUCCCGCCGCCCGCCCGUGCCCUAGCGCCGCCGCCGCCGCCGAAUCCGUCGCAUCCCGCCGUCCCCGCGCGCCAUAAAGAGGGGGAAAUCACUCCCCGUGAUUCCCUCCCUCUUUCCCCCCACUUUUCCCUCUCUCUCUCCCUCGGAUUCGUUCGGAUUUACUCCCGCGAACUUCGCCGGCGCAUCAAUGGCGGCCGGAUCUUCUGCGGCCGAUUCCCCCUCAUCCGCCCGCUCUCUCUCACUCCCGUCCCUAUUUAAACGCUCCCCGUGCCUCCCUCCUCCGUUUCCGCCACUCGCCGCUGUCUCUCCCCGUCGGAAUCGAGCCCGCGCCGUCGUCCUCUUUCUCCGCCGUCGCCGCCGAGCUCCGGUUCGCCGCCGUCGUCGCCCCGGACCUCCUCCCGCUUCGGCAUCGCCUCCUUCGGCUUCGCCGCGUUCUCGUCGACCUCGUCCACUCCUCCGUUUCGCCCGCCGACCGCCGGAGCACCGCCGUCCUCGUCGACCCGAGCCACGCCGCCGCCUCUCUCCGCUUCGGUCGCCGUUCCCGUCGUCGCCGGCGACCCGGGGUGAGCCGAGGACCGCCAUUUCGUUUCCCCCUUCCCUCCCCUCUCUUGGCCGCCGCUCCGCCAUGCCUAUGGCCGUCGCCGCCGACCAUAGGGGCGCGGGCGCGCCGCCUCCCGUCGGCCGUGCCGGCGAGGCCGCCUUCGGGCGCGCCCCGCGGCUGCCAGGUGGGCCCGGCCGUCAGCCGCCCGCGCCCUCGGGUGCGGCUGACGCGUGGGACCCACGGCGCCGGCCGGCGCACGCCGCGUGCACCCGGUCCACCGUGGACCGUGAGGCUGCCGCGUGGGCCCCACUCCCGUGGACCCGGUCCGCGCGCCCUCUCUCCCGUGGACGCAAUAAAUCCGAUUUUUAAUUAAAAUUUAAAUGAAGAAAUUCGCAAAUAUCCAUUUAAAGAGCAUAUAAACUUCAUAUGGCCAUAACUUGGCCAUUUGAACUCGGAAUUGGACCGUUCAAGUCUCUAAUUUUUCCUUAAGGAGUCAAGAACCCAUUUUUGUGCUUUGUUUCUGCUUGUUAUAUGGAGUUUAUUAGAGUAAUAGCCUUUUCUUUUCCGUUGAUCGUGUAGACGCUGCAGCUUCGGAAGACCCGCUCUUCGUGGAAGUCGAAGCCGACGUUUGGGAAAGCAAGCAAGGCAAGUCACAUCAUCUUUGAACAUAUUGAACCCCAGUUUGUAAAAUUAUGUUUAUUUAAAUUAUUGCAUUAUCGCUUUAUUUAAAUUCCCGCGUUAUCACUGUUUUAUUUAGCCAUGCCUAUUUACCUUUGUUAUGACCUUAUUAUUAUUGUUAUUGUUAUUAUUCCCUUGUUCACCCUAGAAUAAACAAAACCCCAACUAGUGGACACUCUACUUAUGGUAUCCCUAGUAUGAUUUUAGGUAGAUGCUUCGCUUUUAACUAGGUAACAUUAGGUGGUUUUUCAACCCUAGACUUUGGGAAUAUUCAUAUCACCUGGUCACUAUGGAAUGGUUUGGUUACUGUGGAAUUAGCUUCACACCGCCCCCUCUAUUCAAAAUCCCCAAAAUGGUUUUAGGCUGGGCUCGGGGUGCAUGGUUUUGAUAGUAGCACCUCGACCAUAUAAGGACCGGUCUUCGGGCCUCUGUUGCAAAGCACUACCGUACUUCCACAUGUCUAGUGGGUAAGGCUUAGUUUGUGGCUCAGUCUGGUUAUAAACAAAAGUACACGGAUGGAGAUGGAUGAAGUCGGGGGUCGAUGGACAUUCUCCAGGGCAAAUGAAGGCUACACGAGCUGUGGCCCGAUAGUCGAGAUGUCAUGGCACAGGGCCGGUGUCCUGCUGCUAGGGGCUCAGUCCUGCCUGCCUGUCCCGGGGGUUCCGGCCGUAGGUGGGAUUUGGUCGGUACUCUUGUCUAUGGCCAGGAUGGGUUGGAAACUAUGUCACGUCUUCCGUCUGUAUACCGUGGUGGUAUGUGGCACGUGGUUGCACGUGAGGAAGAUGUGUCUUGUGGGUAAAGAUGUACACCUCUGAUCAGAGUAUAAUCUAUUCGAAUAGCCGCGCCCUCGGUUAUGGGCAAGCCGAGCAAUGUACCCAAGUUAGUGUUUUAAUUCUUAAAACUUGCUUAACAACUAAAAUGUGGAAUGGUUGGCCUGGGUUGGCUUGGGACGAGCUGGGACCCAGGGUCGGGUUGCCAGUUCGGUCCGAAUCAUCAUAGGCCUUGGGUUAAGGCAGGUUCGUGUGGGUUCACGGCCUUGAUUAAUAACAUUGUAUAGUACUAGAAUCGUGUUUACAAAAUAGCUUGGGCAACUAAAUGUCUUUAAAUGCUGUUUACUGCAACCCUACCCCUUUAUAGUAUGACUCCUUUGUACUCCCUUGCAUUUAUUCCGCACUUGUGGGUGUGUCUUGUUGAGUACGGUGGUUGUACUCAGUCUUGCUCAAUUUUUCCCAACCCCAGAAGAGGAGUUCCUGGUUGAUGAAGGCUUCGGUGUCUAGCUCGUGCCUGCCGUCAAGCGCCUGUGGUCGUCGCCCUAGUCUUCCGCUGCUUCUCGUUUGUCUUUGUGUGUGCUGGGCCUUCGUCGCCCAUGUAAUAAAUUAACUAUUUUACGCUUCUGCUUGUUAAACUCUGAAUUGUAUCAACUUUUGGUGUACCUUGCCUCCUGGGACAAGGAUUAAUGCACGCACGUAAGGAACGCCCGUUGGGUUAUUUCCGGUCGUGACACGUAACGACCACUAAGACAACUCGGAAAACCCCAAAACAUCAUCAAGGUUGAUAGGCUACUCACUCGAAGCAGUUGCUGUUACUUCGACCUCCGUAUCAAGAGUUUCGUCCUCGACGUCAUGAGAGGCGCGUGGUUCAAACUCGAGUACCGGAAUCAUUGCCAGUGACUCGGGCUGCCCAUGCUGCUAGACAUCCUCAUCAUCAGCAUCUCUACAAUCAACAAGAGAGAUUCCCGAAAUCAAUAGUGAACAAGGAUGGUAAUCAUGCACGCAAAGGCAACUAGAAUUUAAAGUUUACAAGUCAGAAAAAAUACAUGGGUCCUACUCUUCAAAAAGGGGGAGGAUAGACUCCCCCAGAUCACCGACUUCCUCCAUCACCUCCUUCCGUGCGUUACUUGCCGCUCCCUGAUCCAAGACCUCACGCAGGUCGAGUUCAGGACGCGACAACUUCACGCAUGCGAGGACGUGACAUGUCCCGGUAUAGAUACCGUUAGACGUCUCCUCCAUGAUCCUGGCCGCGUGCUUGGAGGGAAUUUCCCCAUCGCCGUCGCCAUCUCCGCAAGGGAAGAGGUCAACGAGAACUCGUCGGGAUUCACCGGAAUCGUGGACUUAAUGCUGCACUCCUCGGCGAGUUGGUGGAGACCGGUGUAGGUGACCCGCAGCGAACCUCGGAUCUCGGAGAGGUUAUCCCGAGUUCCGACAUGCAGUCCUCGAGCCCUUUGCGCUGGCACUCGUUGCCGGCCACCAGCUCCCUCAUCUUCGUGAGGUCUUCACGGGCUUCGGCCAGUUCCCGCGCCGGACGCUCAGCACGCGCGUUGGCCGCUACCGUCUCCGCCCUCACCUCCGAGACCUCGCAGCCAACGCCACGAGCACCGGCCUCGAGAAGACGCCCCAUCUCGACAUGGAGCUCCUCCCAGGUGAGGACGGCCUCUGACAGACCACGGCCGCCGACGGGAUCGCCCACGGAGCCGCUUGGCGUCGCCUCCCGACUCCCGACCACGGGCACAACAUCCGUUGACGCCGUGACAGCGGACGCGCUAGACGUUCCCCCGGACUUGCCGCGAGCAGCCUUCGACUUCGCCUCCCUGUUAACCGCCAUGAGUCAAAACUCCGCUCGAACAGAAGACAUAAGAGUCUAGAAAUCCUUCACUUACUUCUCGCCGACCGUCACAAUACGUUGACGUCGAGCAGGCGGGGGAAAUACGUCGGAAGCCUACAAGACAACCGAUAUAGAGUGAGAACAAAUUCUCCUCGCUGCACAACCUAACGACAAGGAGGAAAUUACCAAGGGAGUUUCCGCCUUGCGGCGAUUUCCGAGUACAGACAAGAAUUUCCUCGCCUUAGUCGGAGUUUUGCCACCACUAGUGGUGGCAGCGUCGGACGCCUCCUGGACGACCUUCUCCUUCAGAGACGUCGCCACCUGAUGAUCCGCGAGCGGACCGAUGACAUCAGUCAAGGGAAGGGCCUACGCUAAAUCACGUCAUAAGCCGAUUUUGAGUAAGGAAGGCGGACGCUUAUUAAAUGAACUCACAUUGAUGGCUUCGUCACAUUCUGCCGCUCCCCUUUCACAAAGGGGCGCGGGAAUGUCGCUUGCGGUUUGUCACGCCCGGAAAUUCACUAGUAAUUUCCGAACUUAUUUGUGCAUAAAACCCUCGUCCAAGAAUCAGCUGAGGUACACAAACUGACAAUUUAAUAUACAAAUCCAUCUUAAUAAUAACGUUACAUACUUACAAAAGAAAAGAAAAACAGCAGCGAAAUAACGAUCUAACGAUGGCUUCAGCUCCACUCCCACAGGCAGCUCAACUGGGGUAUAAGCCAAACGUCUUCUCCUUCUGGAUCCUUUUUCUUCAACUGAGGUUUGAUGAUUAUUGUAAGAAUGAGCAUAUGACAUACUCAACAAGCCACACAACAAAUAUGCAAGUGCACAAGGAUACCAAAGGAUGGCAUAAUAUAGGCUCAUUUGCAAAGGCAGCAUUUAGCAAACAUUUAAGAGAAGUAAAACAGUAGAGUAAUUAAUCAUCAAUUUUAAUCAACACUAAACAGCACGCCCAUGCUGCUCAGGCCCAACCAAACCUGAACAACCAACCCCGGUCGUACAGAUCUAACCUCCAAACCAGGAAUUAUCCAUUCCAAACCAGGAGUCAAAUUAAUUAUCACAUUAUUAACAUUAAUGAGUAGUGUGAGACUAAUCACGAAAAACAUUGCUCAACUCGCCCAUAACUGCGGGCACGGCUAUUCGAAUAGUUUUACUCUGGCCAGAGGUGUACCACUGUACCCACAAGACACAGCAUCAACAUCAUGUCUACCAUGCGUCGCGAUACUGGAAAGUACCCGAAUAGAGGCUAUGACAAUACCCUCUGCACAACACAACUCACCACAGUGCACCGUUCCUGCAUCAUAAUCUCCCCCUCAAAACCAGAGGCAAUGGACUCCCCAGCGACCCCCACGAACUUCUCGCCGCUUCACAGUCUGGCACACCAUAAUGAAUCAUGCUAUACAAAAGGUAAAGCCGUUGCCCACGCUGGCUUGUGGUUGGUACGGUAAAUGUUUCACAACAGUAGCUCGCGAACCAGUCCUUAAUUGUCAUGAGCACAACAAUCAAAACCAUAUGCUCACAACCCACCUUAACCAGGUUUUAAUUAUCAAUUGAUUAACAUCACACGAUUAACCAUCGUGAGCUACCAUUAAAUAUAACCAUAAUUAAUAAGAAUAAUAUAAUAUAAUU